UGGGAGCCUCCGUCAUCGAGAUGUGGAGUUGAACCAAGAAGUUUGUAAGGGCAAGGAGAUCGCCUACUUCGUGAAGAUCUACCCCGAGUAAGGCUAGCCCUCCGUGGGCGUAGGCCAUGAUGGAAUAGACAAGGUUGCUUCUUCGUGGACCCUUCGUGGGUGGAGCCCUCCGUGGACUCUCGCAGCCGUUACCCUCCGUGGGUUGAAGUCUCCAUCAACGUGGAAGUACGAUAGCACCACCUAUCGGAACCACGAGAAAAAUCACCGCGUCUCCAAAAUUGCGUUUGCUCUUCUCCACCUCUCUUUACUACAUGUGCAAUUUACUUUCCGCUGCCUAUACUCUAGAAUUGCAUGUGUAGGGUGAUGCUUGACUUGAUCAUAAUUGUGAAUCUGCCAAAAACUGUUCUUUGUCAAAAGGCAGAAUUUUUAUAUUGACAAGUAGUCUAAUCACCCCCCUCUAGACAUACUUUCGAUCCUACAAGUGGUAUCAGAGCUUUGGUCUCCAUUGUAUUGGCUUCCAUUGCAUUGGACUCCAUAAGCUUGGUUUCACAACCUAGGAGAGUAUGGCGUCUAGUGAGGGUAAUUUUCGUAGAGGUCCUUACUUUGAUGGUACAAAUUUUGCUAGUUGGAAGCAUAAAAUGAAAAUGCAUAUUCUUGGUCAUAACCCAGCCGCAUGGGGCAUUAUUUGUGUUGGUAUGCAAGGUGAAUUCUUCGAGGAAGGAAAAGUUCCGGAUCGCGAAGCUACAACGGAAGAAUUGCGGAUGUUGCAAAACAAUGCUCAAGCUUGUGACAUUCUCUUCAAUGCCUUGUGUCCCGAGGAGUUCAACAAAAUCAGCCGUCUUGAGAAUGCAAAAGAGAUUUGGGAUACUUUGGUUGAAAUGCACGAGGGUACCGAGUCCGUGAAGGAAUCAAAGCUAGAUAUUCUUCAAGGUCAACUUGACAAGUUCAAGAUGAAGGAUGGUGAAGGAGUCGCUGAAAUGUACUCUAGGCUUGCUCUCAUCACAAAUGAGAUUGCCGGCUUAGGAAGCGAAGAAAUGACCGACCGAUUCAUCAUCAAGAAGAUUCUCAGAGCUUUGGAUGGAAAGUAUGACACCGUGUGCACUUUGAUCCAAAUGAUGCCAAACUACAAGAAUCUCAAGCCAACCGAAGUCAUUGGAAGAAUUGUUGCUCAUGAGAUGACACUUAAGGAUAAGGAAGAGCUUCACAACAAGUCAAGUGGUGCUUACAAAGCUACAAGUGAUGCUCCCACAACCUCAAGUGACAAGUUAGUUUCCAAUGAAGAGAUAAGCCUAAUGGUCAAGAACUUCAACAAAUUCUACAAGAAUAGAGGCAAAGAGAGAAGCUCAAAGUCUAGAUCAUAUGAUGAAAAGAGAUCUUCUAGUCGUGAUCGAAACUGCUACAAUUGUGGAAGACCCGGACACUACUCAAAUGAGUGUACGGCUCCCCACAAGAGAAGAGAAGAAUCUCCAAGAAGAAGAAGCUCAAGAGAUGAGUCACCUCGGAAAGAGAGAAGGAGCAGAGAUGAUCGUUAUGAACGAAGACCCUCUCGGAGAAGCAAGGAUUCGGAGAGGAAAGACAAGUCAUCAAGGAGCUACACAAGAAGAAAACAUCAAGCUCAUGUAGGUGAAUGGGUUUCCGGCUCCGACUCCGACAAUCAAUCCAAAGGAGGCUAUCACUCCAACUCCGACUACAGUCAAGAUGAAGGUGUUGCCGGUCUUGCUCUCGUAUCCUCCAACUCCAACUCCUACGACUUAUUUGAUUCACCAAAUGAGGGAAUUGGAAGAUGCUUCAUGGCUAAAGGCCCCAAGGUAUCACACCCUGAAUUCAUUGACUUCAAUAGUGAUGAGGAUGACUUGCUUGGUGAAGAUGAACUCUUGCUUGAUAAAUCCAGUGAGCCUAGUAACGACGAACAUGCUAGUAAUGUUUAUAGUCGAGAAGAGUCGAAUGACAAUGCUAUGAAGGAGAUUGAGCAUCUAACUAAAGAACUAAACACUCUUAAGUUAGCUCAUGAAACAACUCAAGAAGAUCAUAGAGAGCUCCUAAGAUCUCAUGAGAAGCUACGCUUCGAGAAGCUCACUCUAGAGCAAGAACAUGAGUUUCUAGAAGCAAUCAAUGACGAUCUUCGAAAGAAGAGUUCUUCAUAUCUUGCCAAACGACUUCUCUUGUCUAAUUUCUUGCCACCCAUUAAGACUAAGCAUGACAAGCAUAAGAAAAAUUCUUCCUCUAGUAGUAACAAUAACCAUGCUAAAUCCAAUGUUGUUGCUUCUAGUAGUUCUCUUGAUUCCACUAAUAAUGUUUCAAGCCAAGUUACACUUGAGCAAGAAAAUAGUUUAUUGAAAGGGAUCAUAGAGAAAGGUGUCUACAAGAGCCUUGCCGGAAGCAAGAACUUUGAGGAAAUCAUUCGCAAGCAAGGAAGGCACCGGAAGAAUCAAGGAAUUGGUUUUGAGCGAAAGUUCAACGCCGAAGGUGUUGAGUGGGAAGAAGGUCAAUAUCCUACUCCACAGUUUGUUCCUCGAAAGGAGAAGUAUGAUCCUACUUCUUCCAAUGUGGAACAAGCUCAAGAUGACCUUCCACCACAAGACCACAAGCUAAAAGGCAAGGACAAGCUUCAAGAGGAGAUUGAUGCAUUUGUUGAAGCACCUCAAGCCAUGGUCAAGUGGGUUCCCAAGGAGACGUCAAGUUCUACUUCGUCAAGCUCAACUACAACCCCAAGGAUUCCCAUCAAGAUGAUGUGGAUCCCGAAGAAGAAGAACUAGAAAGUUCUUGAGGGUGACUCCGCCAACAUACUUCACUCACAUUCAUUUUGGCGAAAACUUGUGCAAUCAACUUCCACAUCGUGCACUAGUUCAUGGAGUCACAAACCCUCUUGUUGGUAAGUCAAGGGACAAGGUAAUCAUUGCUUUCAUGGACAUCAUCUAUUGUGAACUUCAAUCUAUGUCCAUGGAUAUCCUUGUUUGUUCCUUGUGGGACUAACCCAUGUAGGUAUUGAAAGUGCCCGAAUCCAAAGGAUAGCUCCCAACUCUUGAUGAUCUCCAUCAACAUUGAGCAUCCACAUCUUCAACAUCUACAUGAAGUCUUCUACGACAACCCAAGGUUAGUUUGACCCUUUAAAAGGGGUUCUCACAUCUAGGGGGAGCUUUGCUCUAAAAAAAUUGAGCUAAAGCAUCUUCAAAUGAUGUGAACACAUCAAUGCUUUAUGUAAAAGUGGUAACCCCACUUGUGCUUAAACGAUGAGUAUGACCUAUGAUCAAAUGUUCUCAUUUGGCUCCUAAGUCAAUAUACUCAUAUAAAGAUGACCUAGUCAUCGACAAAUUGUGUGUUAGUUGCUAGAGUUUUGGUUGUGCAUGUUUGACACAUAUUUCAUUUUCUAUCUUAUUGUGUGAGCAUGUUGGAUGCAUGAUUUUUUCCAUUCGAGGACAUCCAUUUGUUGUCUUGGUCGUUUUGAGUUUUCUGACCAAAUGGAUGGACAAGAAUGCCUAAGUACCUCCCCUAGCUAUCUAUGCUUUCUUGUCUCAAAUUCUAUUCAUGCUUACAUCACAAAUUUUGAACAAGUCUUUUUCGGACCCUCCGGGUGAGGAGCACUCGGAGCCACCGAUCCGUCAAGGGCUAAUUUCCAAAACCUUCUAAUUGAUUUCGGUCAAACCAACUCACUCAAACUCGGUCGAACCAAAAGCAUUUAGACUGAUCUAGGUUUUCACCUCGGUGAAACCGAGUUGUGAUUUUCGGCGUGACCGAAGUGCAUAACUGCCUAGCAGUUAUCCAUCUCGGUGCCACCGAGUUUUACAACUCGGUCCCACCAACAGCGAAGGGGUAUAUAUAUACCGAGGGCCGCGCGCGUUGAUUCCUCCUUCAAACGUUUCGCCCCCACACCCCUUGCUGCCGUCGCCUUGGUCUCCGGAUCGUCGCCGUCGUCGCCUGUGCGCCCUCGCCGCAGGUCUCCGACGCUGUCAACGGACAUCUCCUCCGAGCCGUUGCCGCCGUAGAAAAACUCCACCAAGUUAGGGUGAGUUUUGAUCCCACUCGUGCUCCCAUCUCCGAUUCAAUGCACAUUUGGUUUGCCUAGUAUCUUGCCACGAUUGAAAUCCUCCUGUACACCAGAUUAGUUCAUUUGAACUAGAUUCGAGUAAAAGUUUUAGGGUUAGGUUUCCGCGGAACACAUCUCGGUGAGACCGAUUUUACAUUUUCGGUAUGACCGAUUUGGCCUAUAGCCAUUGCACUGCACCCUUCGGUCCAACCGAGUUGUGCAAAAUCGGUGUGACCGAAAUGAGGAUUCUGUGAAACCCUAGUGUUUUCGGCAGGACCGAAACCCACUUCGGUCAAACCGAAAGUGGUGUGCCAAGCUCCUGUUUAACACUUCGGAUUCACCGAAUCUUAAACUCGGUCUGACCGAAAUGUCUUCUGUGAAAACUUAAUACUAGAAUUUGAACUCAUUUUUUUUUGCAAAAACUUCUGCAGUUUGUGAUGACUCUUCUUCUCUGCCUACACCUUAUCUAUUCACAGGUUGUCAGCCAUGUCAGAUGCCAGUGACAGUCAGAACAGGUCAGAGACACCCAUUGCAGACAUUCCAGAGGCAGGCACUAGUCCUGAUCCUAGUAGCUCAUCUGAUGAUGGUGAGAGGAGUACACCAAGUGGCAUGCCUCCUGCAGCCACCAGAGCUAGAAAGAAGAGGAAUUCAGAUGAUGAGGAUUCAGAUUUUGUUGUUGAGGAAUAAGUGACCUCAAAGCCCAAAAGGAAGGUUGUUGCCAAAGAGGAACAAGGUCAACAAACUAAGAAGGGCACCAGCAAAGUCAAGCAGUCAACUGUUGCUAAGAAGCUAAAUUUGGGAGAGGCAGCUGCAAGCAAAGUGAAGAAAACCUCCAAGAGAAAGAGGAUAGUGCAUGAUGCAGCAGUAGAGGAUGAGGAUGAGGAAGCACCCCAGCCUACUCCUCAGAAGCCGAAGCUCAUGGGUGAUGCCAUUAAGGCUGGAGCCACAUCAAAGCCCAAGAAAUCUGCUCCAGCUAAGGCAGCUCCAGCAAAGCCUGCUGCCAAGCCCAAGAAGACCGUCAGAAACAUUCCAGCGUCUGAAAAGAACAAGGAUGAUGUGCCACCAGCUGAGUCAGACGAUGAAGGACCAGUUUUGCAGAAACUUCGUCCAAAACUGCCACUACAUAAUGAUGCUCAUCCUCAAGCUGAGGAUAUGAAGGCAAGGAAAGAUAAAGGUCUCAGGCUAUGGAGACAAACUGACCCAUAUGCCGUGAGGAGAAGAACUGCUGUAGAUCCCAGAUUUCACACCAGAGAGCAGCAGGACUUCUAUGAGACCGUGCUGAUGGACAAGAAGCCCAUAGUCGCAGACACCCGAUAUGUUGACUGGAAGUACAUUGACAGCGAAGAGCACAGAGAUUUCUUUCCACAUGUGCAUGAAAGUUUCAUUGCAUGUGGAGUUGCAGACUUUGUAGGUCAGAAAUUGACCAGUUGGAACGAUGAGAUGAUAAUGCAAUUCUAUGCCACAGCUCAUUUCUACCCUGAUGGAAAGAUUAUAUGGAUGACUGAAGGUCAAAGAUUUUCUUCUUCUGUUGAAGAAUGGGCAGAAAUUCUGAAUGCUCCAGUGCAACGAGAAGAUGAUAUUGAUGUAUAUGGGAUUCCAAAGAAGAAUCAUGAAUCCAUGAAGAACAUGGACAAAGAGAUUCCAGCAAAGGAUUUGGGAAUCUGGAAGCUCGGCUCAGUCUACUAUCUCCAGGCAGGCUUACCUACCACUAAUACCAUUUUGAGGCAUACCUUGAUGCCCAAAUCUGGAGAUGAUCGCAUGAUCAGAGGAUACUCUAUCAACAUGCUGCACAUACUUGAUGAGAAAGCACCUUUUAAGGUGAUGGACUUGAUGGUAGAGACCAUUAAGAGGACUGCAGCUGACCAGAAAAGGUCAUGUGGAUUUGCCCCACAGAUUCAGAUGCUUAUCAAUGCCAAGUUUGUCACGGGCACAUUCUUGUUGGAUAGAGCACAUUUACCGUUGCAGCCAGAGCAUGAGGACAAUGUUGUUGUGAUGGAUGAGGAGGAUCCGACAUCUGUUGAAGGUCAAGCCAAGAUCGAAGCUGCUAAGAAAGCCAAAGCUGACAAGGAAGCAGCAGCAGCAGCAGCUAAACCAAAGAGUUUUGGAGAGCAAAUUCUUGAAGCUACUCAAAGGAUUGAACAACGCCUGGCCAGCAUUGAACAGUCUCAGGAGAGCUUAGAGAGGAUUGUUGAGGACAAGAUCCAUGCUCUGGACGUGAAGCUGACUGAAGUACAAGUGACCGUCAACAAGCUCGAGGCAGACAUUGAGGAAGCAAAGCGGGAGAAGGAAGAGCUUAUGCGUGAGUUGCAGGAUGACUUAGUCCAGGAUUCUCAGCGACAGACUUCUCCGGUUCCCAAAGGAUCCCGAUCAGCUGCUAUUCCAGUGACAGACACCAGGACUACAGCUUCAGUACCUCCCACAGUUCCAGCAGUUACUCCAACUCCAGCUCCAGUGACCACUCCUCCAGCACAGACAUCAGCUGAAGUCUUCGCCGAUGCUGUCAUAUCCACUCCGACAUCAACCCAGACGGGAGCCGCCAGCAGAGUCCACAGUGACGCUUAGCUCUAUGCUUUUUCGAACUUUUUGGUAACUUGUUGCCAAAGGGGGAGAAAUUGUAUAGAUCAUAGGACUUCGAGAGAGAGAGUGCUGUUGUCUUUGCGCUUUUGCUCUUUCGUUCUUUUGCGGUUUCUUUGAGAUACUUUUGGUUUUCGAGACAUUCAGUGUGUUUGAUACUACGUUUGAUUCUACCUUAAUGAGUACUUGGUCGUACUAUGCUUUAAUGUGUGCUUAAUGCUUAUCAUUUGCCAUUCCUAUCUUGUAUGACCAUUUACUCAUGUCUUGGUGAUUGGGUGCAUGCUGUUCAUUCUUAUCAUUAUGUGCGCUCCACCAAGAUGUAUGUGACAUGGAAGAGUGACCCAUGAUCCUAAUCGAUUGUGCAUUUGCAUUCAAACGCAAAUCUUAAAUAAUGCACAAAUUUAGGGCGAGCUCUUGCUUAUCACAUACUUCUCAAAGCGACGAUAUUAUUCAUUGAUUAUAUCCUUUGUCGAAGCUUUGAUCUAUAUGUUGUCAUCAAUUACCAAAAAGGGGGAGAUUGAAAGUGCAACUAAUCCCCGGGUGGUUUUGGUAAUUAAUAACAACAUAUAUAUCAUUGAACUAAUAGUUACUUGAGAAUCAUUUCAGAGAGUUCAGUGAUAUGGGUAUGGCAAGGACUGAAGAAGUGGACCCCUCAAAAUGCUAAGGCAAGCAUUGGCAAAAGCUCAAGACUCCAUUUUUAGUUUAGUGAUCCAAGAUCACAUUGAGUCCAUAGGAAAAGCCAAUACUAUUAAAAGGGGAUGAGGUUAUGAUGAUGAUUUGGUUGCUCAAGUGCUUAGUGAUACAUCUCCUAAACUAUCAGCAACUUUCACUGCCAUAUACACUCAUAAGUAGUCUCGGUCCCACCGAUAUUCCAAACUCAGUCACACCGAGAUGAACCACCUCAGCCAUAAGCCAAACCCUAGCAAACUCGGAUUUUCCGAUUCUGAACUCGGUCUCACUGAAAUUUGAGUUGCCAAGCUUCUGUAACCUUCUGUCAUCAAAUCGGUGUCACCGAGAUGAUGAAGUCGGUCCCAUCGAAAUUGGCAUGCUCUUGUCAUUGCACGAAUCGGACUAACCGAGAUUGUAUAUUCGGUCCCACCAAAAAUCCCAACGUUCACAUUAUUUGAACUAUCGGUCUCACCGAGUUGUCCACUUCGGUCUCACCGAGAUUGCUCAAAUGUGUGUAACGGUUGGAUUUUGUGUGGAGGCUAUUUAUACCCCUCCACCCCCUCUUCAUUCGUGGAGAGAGCCAUCAGAAAGAACUACCACUCCUACCUUACAUUUCUGAGAAGAGAACUACCUACCCUUGUGUUGAGAUCAAGUUGCUCCACUCCCACCAUAUGAAGCUUGAUCUCUAGCCUUCCCAAGUUGCUUUCCACUCAAUCCUUUCUUCCACCACAGUCAAAUCAGUGAGGAGAGUUGAGUGUUGGGGAGAUUAUCAUUUGAAGCACAAGAGCAAGGAGUUCAUCAUCAUCUACAACAUCUAUUACCUUUUGGAGGGUGGUGCCUCCUAGAUUGGUUAGGUGUCGCUUGGGAGCCUUCGUCAUCGAGAUGUGGAGUUGAACCAAGAAGUUUGUAAGGGCAAGGAGAUCGCCUACUUCGUGAAGAUCUACCCCGAGUAAGGCUAGCCCUCCGUGGGCGUAGGCCAUGAUGGAAUAGACAAGGUUGCUUCUUCGUGGACCCUUCGUGGGUGGAGCCCUCCGUGGACUCUCGCAGCCAUUACCCUCCGUGGGUUGAAGUCUCCAUCAACGUGGAAGUACGAUAGCACCACCUAUCGGAACCACGAGAAAAAUCACCGCGUCUCCAAAAUUGCGUUUGCUCUUCUCCACCUCUCUUUACUACAUGUGCAAUUUACUUUCCGCUGCCUAUACUCUAGAAUUGCAUGUGUAGGGUGAUGCUUGACUUGAUCAUAAUUGUGAAUCUGCCAAAAACUGUUCUUUGUCAAAAGGCAGAAUUUUUAUAUUGACAAGUAGUCUAAUCACCCCCCCUCUAGACAUACUUUCGAUCCUACACUAUGUGGCCCAUUGAGCUUGGACUCCAUGGCUUGAAGUAUGUGCCUCAGACGGCCAUAAAAUCUCAGGCACUGGUGGCCUUUGUCAAUGAUUGGAUAGAGCUGCAGAUGCAUGAGGAUAAGCCGGACAAUACGUAAUGGAUUAUUCACUUUGAUGCGUCUAGGCAAUUGGAAGGCUCGGGGGAUGGAGUUAUAUUGACUUCCCCACGAGGUGAUAAAUUUUGUUAUGUUUUAAGGUUGAUGUUCCCUUGUACUAAUAAUGCAGCUGAGUAUGAAGCUUUACUCCAUGGUCUUCGGAUGGAUAAAUAGAAUCUGAGCCGGGUAAGGUGCUUUGGCGACUCAGAUUUGGUAGCUCAGCAAGUAUCAGGAACUUGGGAUUCAAAGGAUCCACUCAUGGCGGCUUAUCGCCGAGAGGUUGAUUCUAUUGCUAGUAAUUUCAAAGGUUAUCAAGUGGAGCAUGUUGAUCGGAGGAAAAAUGAGGCUGCUGAUGCUUUAAGUCGGCUGGGGUCUCAGCAUAAGCCGGUCCCCCCUAAUGUUUUCCUUGAUGUUUUGCAUAACCCAUCAGUUAAGUUGCCUAGGGAGGAGGACUUGGCAGUCCCUGACCCGGAGGCACAGUUGGUGGCGGCUCUCCAUGUUAUCCCUGAUUGGACUGUUCCAUAUUUUGCUUAUAUGACCCGGGGCGAGUUACGUGAAAAUGAAACCUUGGCCAGGGAAAUAACCCGGAGGUCUAAGUCUAUGACUAUUUUCAAUGGCGAGCUCCAUAGAUGCGGUGUUACAGGAGUAUUGCAAUGAUGCAUUUCUCCUGAGGAGGGCCAUUAAAUUCUAAGGGAGAUUCAUGAAGGAGAUUGCAUUCAUCAUGCUGGCUCUAAAUCUCUCAUUGCUAAAGCUUUUCGUCAUGGGUUUUAUUGGCUGACGGCUCAUGCAGAUGCAGAAGAUCUAGUCAGUAAGUGUGAUGGUUGUCAGAAAUUUUCCAAACGAGCUCAUGUGUCAGCUCAAGAAUUGAGGAUGAUUCCAAUUACUUGGUCGUUUGCAGUCUGGGGGUGGAUAUGGUUGGGCCUUUUAAAAGGUCCAAGGAUAAAAAGACUCAUCUUUUGGUAGCUAUUGACAAGUUUACAAAGUGGAUUGAAGCCAAGCCGGUCAGCAAAUGUGAUGCAGUCACGGCAGUUCAAUUCAUUAAAAAGGUGAUCUUUCGUUUUGCCUAUCGUCAUAGUAUCAUUACUAAUAAUGGUACUAAUCUGUCUAAGGGGGCAAUGAAAGAAUUCUGUCAAUAAGAGCAUAUCCGGCUUGAUGUAUCAUCAGUGGCUCACCCCCAGUCUAGUGCUCAAGCUUAACGAGCUAAUCAAGAAAUCUUGAAGGGUAUCAAGCCCCGGCUUGUGGUCCCUUUGCAGAGGACACCGGGUUGUUGGGUGGAAGAAUUGCCCUCCAUGCUUUGGAGUAUCAAUACCACCCCCAACAGAUCUACGGGUUACACGCCUUUCUUCAUGGUACGGAGCAGAGGCGGUUAUCCCUAGUGAUAUACGUCACGACUUGCCCCGUGUGGCGGCUUAUGUUGAAGCUGAUAAUGAGAAAGCACGUCAGGAUGCUAUUGACCUAUUUGAUGAAGAGCGUGACCUUGCGGCGGCUCGUUCGAUGAUUUACCAGCAAGAUCUGCGUCAUUAUCACAGCUGCCUGGUUAAAAUCAGAACCUUUCAAGAAGGAGAUUUGGUGCUUAGGCUCAUCCAGGAUCAAAGUAACAUGCACAAGCUAUCUCCACCUUGGGAAGGACGCUUUGUGGCCAGCAAAAAUCUGAACAACGGGUCAUACUACCUUAUCGAUGUUCGAGACCACAAGGACUCAUGCACGUCGGAGGAGACCCACCGGCCAUGGAAUAUUGCUCAUCUUCGGCCUUAUUACACCUGAGCCACCGGCUCUCAUGAUCUACAUAUCUUCACCAAUGUAUACAUUAUGAUUAGUAUAAUAAAGUCGGCAUCACUGAUGAUUCAGGGCCUCUGUCGUUUCAUUUCCGAGAAUCUGAGUCUUUAUUGUUACUUCAUAACAUCACUUGGGGGCUUCCUGCUCAUUGAGCAUAGCUAUGAUAACCCUUUUGAUCCGACUUGUACGCCUUGAUUACAAAAAACUUGGGGGCUUCCUUCUCAUUGAGCAUAGCUGUGACUACCCAACUGGUCCGGCUUGAACGCGUGGAUCAAAGUAUUACUUGGGGGCUUCUUGUUAAAUGAACAUGAACUUUGUUGUCCUUCGUAAUAGGCUUGGACGCCACGUGUAUUCACCAAAAAUCCGGGUUAUCCUGCCUUUGUAUGCUUGCCACUCUGACCAGAUAAUCCUGGAAUGACUCGUCGUACUCUUGACAGUUACUCUUUUAAAGACCCUGAACUUGUCAAUGUUAAAACAUCAAUUGGUCAUGUCAGGCCCGGCUUACAGGUUUGAAUUAAGGAAUAACUAAGUGGCUGUGCGACCCUUGAAUAGAACUUGAUGUUGAGACCUGGCAGCCUUUGAAUGCCUUGACCUUUCUGGUUUAUAUUGACUUUGAAUUUUUUUUCUUGACAAUUUCUAUUUGUGCCAUAUCGAUAUAUGGUUGAAAUUUGAUUCAGACCAUGAUGCCUUAAUCGUUAUUUGCUAAUACCCGGUGUUUGUUAACCCGGCCUGGCUUUGGACGUUAAGUCGCGAGUAUAUGAUUAUCAUAUGUUUGGAGUCCUGUACUCCCAAAUUUUGGGGGAUGUUGCCCUUUGCUGUCUAAGGCGUGGUAAGCCGGCAGCGUCGAUAAAUUACACAGAGUUGCGCUCUAUAUUGGGACUGUUGCCCUUAUUGCAUAUGGCCUGGUAAGCCAGCAAUACACAUAAGUAUCAUAGGUAUGAUAUUUAUUUUGUAAUCAUUAUAUGAGGUUUUGAUAAACCGGCCCUGGUUAUGGAUGUUACCAUCACUAGUGGCUUAUUAUAUGGGGAUUAUUGAGCUGCCUUGGGGUAAACCGCCAAGGCACUUGUGCUAUGUUUGUAUGCAGGGUUUAUGACAAUGAGCUUAGGCAAAAUUGAUAAUGAGUAUGAGCAUAAAUAUUGGAUCAUCAAAGAAGAUCAAAACAGCUCAACGGUGUUAUGCAGAUCAACAUGCUUGAUGGCAUGACAGACAAUUGUUUAAAGCUAGCCUAUUACAAGGCAGCUGACGGCCCAAAAGAAUAAGUGUUUUUUGCAAAGUAUUUCAGCUGGCAGAUGCUAAGCUGGCCUGCGGCUCACAUGUCUUGGCCUUGGCGAGUUGAGGGUUGUGGGUCAUCCAGCGCCGGUUCAUCCUCCUCCUCUUCACCCAUUGGCUAUAAGUCAGGGGUUGCCCAGUUGAUCCCAGUCAAAGCUUCAUCACUAAUAAGUGUUGACGGGUCAAUGUCAGGAGCAAAAGUGUGCUUACGGAUUGGAGGAGUAAGGUCUUGUGAAUCAUGGGUUGGCGCCUUGACCUUCUUGUUGUCAGCGUCGUAAGCCGGCUAAUAAUGCGACAGAUCGGUAUCUUCACCUAGCUUGCUUGCUAGAGGAUGCAUCUCCCUUGCUAUUAAAGCGAAGUCCUCAGCGCUAAAGGGAUAUCCGUCCUCUUUCACACUGGGGCAGCCGUUAGCCAAGUCUUCCGGGUCAAGAUCUGCUUGCCAUGCUUUAGCCCGGGUCAGCACGGUGAGUGCACUGGCUUUUGCAGUUGAUUUAUUAAGUUCCUCGAUCCACAGGGGCAGCACAGAUAGCUUCUCCAACGUGUCCUUGAUGAGGGUUGGUGGUUGUUUCUUAUGCACAGCUAUGCAAAUGGCUCGUUGCGCACCAGUAUAUAAUUGGUCUACAAGGGUGUAGGCGGCUUUCAAUUUCUUGCGCAUAUCCAAGCCAAGGUGGGCGAUUUUGGAGCCUGCAUUAUCAAGAAAAUCUAUAAGCCAGAUGAAUAGUGAUUACAAUGCAUUGGUAGUAACAAAUUGAGAUGAUGUUACUUACUGACGAUGGCAGCAGUCAUGGCAUUUAUUUGAUGUUUUAAACUGGCGAGCUCUUCAGUCACCGGCUUAAGAGCCGCUUCAGUAUCCUCCGCUCUUUUCAACAGAGCUGAUUUCUCUGUCUCCCAGCCUGCUUGAUCAGUCUUGCAGUCUUUCUUCAGCUUUUCUAUCUCUGCCAAGGAGGUGGUUAAUUCUGUUUUAGCCUUGGAGGUUUCAGAUUGCUGAGACUUGAUGUUUUCUUGAAGAUCAGCAACUUGGGAGUCUUUGGCAGUAAGUUCAGCCUGUAGGAUAUAAACAAUAGCCGGGUUAAAGUCAUCUUAUUUAAAAGUCCCAAGCACAUACAAGUAUUUCACUUAGCACUUGGGGGCUAAUGCACAUUGCUCUUUUCCAAGACAAGUUUAUGAUGACCCGACUGCUUUAUGAUGACUAUAGCUGAUUCAUGGGGGCUAUAUAUUUGGAUUUUAUGGACAACUAUGGUAAUGAGACCCGGCUCAUCUUGACAGAUUAAGCCGACUGUCGGUGUCAAAACCGGCGGAUCUUGGGCAGGGGGUCCCGAACUGUGCGUCUAGGCGGAUGAUAACAGGAGACGAGGGACACGAUGCUUUACCCAGGUUCGGGCCCUCUCGAUGGAGGUAAAACCCUACGUCCUGCUUGAUUAAUAUUGAUGUUAUGGGUAGUACAAGAGUGGAUCUACCACGAGACCAAGGAGGCUAAACCCUAAAGCUAGCCUAUGGUAUGAUUGUUGUAAUGUAUGUUGUCCUACGGACUAAAGCCCUCCGGUUUAUAUAGACACCGGAGGAGGCUAGGGUUACACAGAGUCGGUUACAAUGGUAGGAGAUCUACAUAUCUGUAUCGCCAAGCUUGCCUUCCACGCCAAGGAAAGUCCCAUCCGGACACGGGACGGAGUCUUCAAUCUUGUAUCUUCGUAGUCUUGGAGUCCGGCGGACGAUGAUAGUCUGGCUAUCCGGACACCCCCUAGUCCAGGACUCCCUCAGUAGACCCUGAACCAGGCUUCAAUGACGAUAAGUCCGGCGCGCAUAAUGUUCGGCAUUGCAAGGCGGGUUCAUCCCUUGAAUAAUCCAGAGAAGAUCAUGAACACCAGGAUAGUGUCCGGCUCUACAAAAUAAAUUCCACAUUCCACCGUAGAGAGAAUAAUGCACAUAAAUCCAAUCUGCUGACGUUUUAUGCGGCAUGACAUCAUACCGCUUCCAAGCCUUUAUUUGAAUCGUUUUUAUUAUACCACCUCAGCACGUUUAGCGAAGCGGUUUCCUUGGCACGUCUUGUCGAAGCAGAGAUCGUGUUCCCCUUAUUCCGGGAUUCUCAUCAAUACGGACGUGGGUAACCCAACCGCGCCACUGAUGGUGGCGCUUGGGAGAUAAGCGAGUUUUACCAGGCUGGCGGGGGACGCAUAGUCUUCGUCCGCCUAUAUAUACGGGAUAAGGAUUUACCUUCUCACCUACGCCUUCUUCCUCCUUUGCUUAUCCAUCUCCUCGCACUCAAGCUCCAACGCCCAAGCUCACGCAUCUCGCCUCGACCUUCUCCGAAUAUGUCCGGAGCGGGAGGCAAAUGGUUGGCCUCCACCGUUAAGGAGGAGCACAUCACCAAGUUGCGCAGCGCCGGAUACCUGUCUAGUGACAUCGCGCAUCGGCUGCCCGACAAGGGGCAGCUCAUCCCCACCCCCGGGCCCCAUGAGAGGGUUGUUUUCCUCCCCCACUUCCUCCGCGGACUGGGCUUUCUACUCCACCCAUUCGUCCGGGGGCUCAUGUUUUACUACGGCCUGGAUUUCCACGAUCUGGUGCCGAACUUCAUCCUCAACAUCUCGGCGUUUAUCGUCGUGUGCGAGGCCUUCCUCUGCAUCCGGCCCCACUUCGGCCUGUGGCUCAAGACCUUCAACGUCAAGCCGAAGGUUGUGAAGGGCACGCAAGCGGAAUGCGGAGGCGCCAUGUUGGGCAAGUUGCCCAACGUCCUUUGGCUCGAAGGGGCCUUCGUGGAUUCCGUUAAGGGGUGGCACUUGGGGUGGUUCUACAUUACCGAGCCGCGCGAGCCCACAUGGGCGGCGGCCCCCGAGUUUAGAUCUGGCAUCCCCAUGCAGCUCACCUCCUGGAAAGAGAAGGGCUUGUUGUGGGGCAAUCCGAAGGAGCUGAAGGGACUCCGAGCCUGCAUCCAGAAGCUGGUGAGCAAUAAGCUCGGGCUCGUCGACGUGGUCCAGGUCAUACUCAUCCGCCGGAUUCUCCCAUGCCAAGAACGGGCAUUUAAUCUGUGGGAGUUCAAUCCGGAACAGCACCAGCCGCUAAGCGGGCUCUUCGACACGACGUAUGAAGGCGCAUGGAGGGUGCUGUUUAAGGGCGCCGAAGCCCCGGCAUCCGCGACGGAAGAUCGCGGAUUUUGCUCCCAGCAUCCAGCUGACGAGGUAAGUGAUUCAACCCCUUUACGGGACACUUGUGGUAAAUAGAUUGAUUCUAAGAGGGUUUCAAUCUCUCCUUUCCUUUGGCAGGAAUGGAUGGAGAAGGCCGAGCAGCUCAUCUAUCUGGCUCCCAUGCCAGAAGAUCCAGUGGACGCCAGUCUAGCGGGGCUGCUGGUUCCGGCACCGCACGUGGUGCCGGAGAAGAAGGCCAAGAAGGUGGCCGCGGGGACUUGAAAGAGUUCCCGCAAUCAAGCGUCCUACGACGAGGCGGACUCCUCCCCCGAAGACGAGGAGGAGGAAGAAGACUCUCUCCCGAAGGAGGGAGAGAAGAAGAGGAAGGCUUCCCCAAUAGGGGAGGCCGAAGGGUCCAAGAGGGGGAGAACUAUUCCCCCGGACAGUUUCGCCAACACCAUCAUUGGCGAGGAGGAGUGGCCUUCAAGGGACAGGCGUCCGGCGAGAUCGUAAGUAUCCGGAUCCCUGAUAUGCAAUUUCUUUCGUGUCACCUUGUGUCCUACUAAUGCCGCAUUCUAUCCGUAGUCCGGCCGAUGAUGAUCUCCCCGCUUCAUUGAGCGGGUCAUUGGCCCCAUCGGAUGUGGAUUCACUUCCGACUGCCUCUACCCCCCGCGCCGACGAGGACGCCGAGGUGGGAUCCCAGAGAGGGACCCAUCAGGAGGAGGCUCCGGAGGCGCCGCCAGGCAGCUUCCUGGACUUUGCGCCGGACUCUACAUCGGAACCUGCUGUGGUUCCAGAGUCCGGCAGGCGGCCCCUUCAAAAGAAGGGCAAGACCGUGACACCGGCGACCUCCGUCCAACCGGAGGCGCCGGAUAACUUGUUGGAGGCGCUUAAAGGUGCUUCCAUCGAGGAAGAACACCGCACUAUCAUGAGUGCGGUGAUUCAGAAGAUUCAGCUCGCCAAGAGCAGGCUGACCGAAGCUUGCAGCAGCCUUCUAACAGGCUUUGAGGUAAGAAGUUAUAAUUAUGUAAUGUAAUAUCGCAUAGACAGUAGCCCCUGAUGCUCGGUUCGGUGUUCGGAAAGAAAAGCCGGACUGAGGAUCUAAUAAGAUAUACGCAGGGUUGCUUAAAAUAUGUCAAUAUGGGUUUGCAGGCUGCGCUGCUGACCUCUGCCGCACUGACUGCGGAGGUCGGUGCGUUGAAGCAAGAUCUCGAGCGGUCCGAGCAAGAGCUCGGCCAUGCCAAGAAGCAGCUCGAGGACAAAGAAGGUGAGUAACACCACUUUGAAUAGUUACCUUACAGAAAAGGAUUUAGGUUGCAAUAAAAUUAACAAGGAUAAUAUGGGUAUUGCAGGGGCCACGAAUGAGGUGGCAGCCCUGAAGGAGGCUGUGUCCGCGGCCGAACGCAGUGCGGCUGCGGAACGGGCAGAGCGAGAAAAGAGGGAGGCACAAGUGGCGGAAGUACGGCAAGAGCUCCAGGCUCUCAUGGAGAAGCAUGAGAGCUUGGAGCGUGACUCCAAGACUCGAGAGUCCGAGCUUGCCUCGGCUCUCGAAAGUGCCAAGUCCGCCAAGGCCGAGGCCCGUAAGGCCCUUCAGGAGGUUGAAGAUUUAAAGAAGAUAGCGGCGGGUAAGGCAUUUUUCAUACAAAGCAAGCAUGUUAAUGUAAACUACCUGACACUUACCCGCAUUCGGAGCUCUCUAGGGGCGUUUGCAGAUCUGCCGCGUAGUGCGUCCGAUGCCGCCGCAUUCUAUCGUGGCGAGGAGGGGAGCUCGACGGAGAAGGUCUUCUGGUCUCAGUAUGCUGAGGCCGGCCAUCUGGUGCCCCCAAGCGACCAGCUGAAGCAGCUGGUCGAACUCCACAAGGUAGCUGAGGAGGCCAUGAAGGGCCUUAUAGUCCGGCUGUGGCCUGGACAGGCCAUGCCUGGGAGCUACUUCGGCCUCGUGCGGCGGCUGGUGGAUGCGUGUCCCUGGGUGGAGGUCAUCAAGCGCUCCGCCUGCAUUGAAGGUGCUCGUCGGGCCCUUGCCUGCACAAAGGUGCACUGGGGCAGGCUGGAUGUGGAGAAGCUUCUCACGGACGCGCCGCCACCAGGCAAGGAGUAUCGUACGCCCGAAAUGUAUUACAAAACUGUCCUGAAGGGAGCCCGCGAUAUUGCGGAUGAGUGCCCCAGAGAUGUAAUUUUUGAGUAAACCUACUAUGUGUUAUCCUGUGCGCUGAAAACUUUGUUCAUGUGCGCAUUAAGCAACGCUUGUUUAAUUUAAAAUAUUACCUUCUGUGCGGCCGUUUAUAAAAUCUGAGAGAUGGCAAGUCGUUGGCUUCAGCCCCCGAGCCACGAGUGCUGGGGUAUUCGGGAUAAACUUGAGCACUCUUGUUCCCAUUUUUGGGUCCAUCUAGGGAGGCGCUCAACACAAUGAACAAGGCAACCAGACUUAUAAUGCUUGAACACUCUCACUUGGCCAUAGAAUUCUAUAAUUUUAAAUUUCGGCGAAGCCCCUGGUAUUCGGAAGACCGAAUCCGGGGCGCUAUCCACGCCUUCAUCGGACAUUGUCCGGAACUUCGCUCGAAGCGGCGUGAGUCUUUAAGGACCCGAAAAAACCUCUCGAACAGCGACCAGUCUCUCGCCUUAUCAUGCCGGUCAGUUUUAGCUUUCUCCACUGAGGCGCUCGCCCGGCUCAACCGGGGCGCAAUCGCAGUGGUUCUUCCAGUGCCACCUUAGCCGACAGAAUGGAACGUAAGGCACCAAAAUGUGGGAGCCGGGCAAACCCAACUAUUGACCCAAGACAUGAUUCGGAGCCGAUUCAUAUAAUGCUAUAAGUUCGGGGUGCCGCACUUAUGAAAGUGUUCGUACUUAUCACACCAUAAUGUGGGGAACAUAAGCCCCUGGUGUAUUAGGCCGUACCAAAAUAUACGGGUGCAAGAUGUCAUGUAAUGAACAUAUAUAUAUAUAAGGUAAUGUAAUUGCAGUCAAAAAGGUGCUGAUUAUUUAUUAAAGGAAGUCUGCUAUGAGUGCGGACUGAUACAAACAGUGCGGUAAGCAAGGGAUUUGGACUAAUCUAACAUGUCCCCCUCCAAGGAUGGGCUGCGGAUGUUGUGUAUAUAAUCAAAUUUAAUGCUCGUAAUUAAGACCACCUGAGUGUUCGUCGCAGCCUUCUUUCCUCCCUGGCUGUUGCAUCAUGAGUUCGGCAGGUCCACCGCCGGACAGGGCCUCUGGUUAACGGAGUCAUGUGUAUACAGAGAAGGAAAAUGAUAAUAAAAAAAGGGGGCACACUUGCGAGCCCCUUGUGUGGUCGAGCUGCACUCUGGUUCCAUUGUGAUCGUGCCCCUUCCCCCGCGCCCAUGGUAUCUCCAAAGCGUAAUGAUGUACGCGGAGGGUUGUUAUUGCAAUCAUGCGAGGGCAGGGGUUAGGGCCGCAUUGCUACGCGUUCUCGUAUCGUGCCAGGUUGUCUUGGUUGGUACUGCUUCGGGCACGUUUUGCUGUAUCCGGCCGUUUAACGGCCGGACUCGAAAAUUGCCUUAAAAGGCUGCUCUAUACUUCUGCCGCGAGAGCCGCUGUAUGUUCCUCUGUUCGGAGGGAGCGUUCCGUAUUUCCGUUUGCAUCUUGAGCUUGAGGUAUGCAUAAUGCGGCGCCGCGUUGAACUUUGCAAACGCGGUUCGUCCGAGCAGAGCGUGAUAGCCGCUGCGAAAUGGGACUAUGUCAAAGAUUAACUCUUCGUUCCGGAAAUUGUCAGGGGAUCCGAAGACCACUUCCAGUGUGACUGAGAACGUACAAUUGGCUUCCACACCUGGUAUGACACCUUUAAAGGUUGUCUUUGUAGGUUUAAUCCUUGAGGGGUCUAUGCCCAUCUUGCGCACUGUAUCCUGAUAAAGCAGGUUCAGGCUACUACCGCCAUCCAUCAGGACUCUCGUGAGGUGAAAUCCAUCGAUGAUUGGGUCUAGAACCAAUGUGGCGAAUCCACCAUGGCGUAUGCUGGUCGGAUGGUCUCUUCGAUCGAAAGUGAUCGGACAAGAGGACCAUGGAUUGAACUUCGGGGCGACUGGCUCCAUCGCAUAGAUGUCCCUUAGUGCGCGCUUCCUCUCCCUCUUGGGUAUAUGGGUUGCAUAAAUCAUGUUCACCUUCCGUACUUGUGGGGGGAAGCCCUUCUGUCCUCUAUUGUUCGGCGGUCGGGUCUCCUCCUCGUCGUCGCUGUUUAGCCCCUUGUCAUUGUUUUCGGCAAUUAACUUGCCUGCCUGCUUGAACACCCAGCAAUCUCUGUUGGUGUGAUUGGCUGGCUUUUCGGGGGUGCCAUGUAUCUGGCAUAAGCGGUCGAGUAUUCGGUCCAAGUUGGACGGACCCGGAGUGGUUCUUUUGAAUGGCUUCUUCCGCUGACCGGGUUUAGAGCCUCGGAAUCCGGCGUUGACUGCCGUAUCCUCCUUAUCGUCGCCAUUAAUGCGGUGUUUGUUUUUGUUUCGACGUGACCUGUCGUUGUUGUCCUUAGUAUCCGGACUGCCAGAAUUUUUCCUGAGGUUGUUGCUGCGAGCUAGCCAGCUAUCCUCUCCCGCGCAGAAGCGGGUCAUUAAUGAUGUGAGGGCUGCCAUGGAUUUCGGCUUUUCCUGUCCCAGGUGCCGGGCUAGCCACUCGUCACGGAUGUUAUGUUUGAAGGCUGCAAGGGCCUCUGUAUCCGGACAGUCGACGAUUUGGUUUUUCUUUGUCAAGAACCGUGUCCAGAAUUGUCUGGCCAAUUCGUCUGGCUGCUGAAUUAUGUGGCUUAGGUCAUCGGCGUCUGGUGGCCGCACAUACGUGCCCUGGAAGUUAUCGAGGAAUGCGGCUUCCAGGUCUUCCCAACACCCAAUUGACUCUGCGGGCAAGCUGUUAAGCCAAUGCCGAGCUGGUCCUUUAAGCUUGAGUGGGAGAUACUUGAUGGCAUGGAGAUCGUCUCCGCGGGCCAUAUGGAUGUGAAGAAGAUAAUCUUCGAUCCAAACCGCGGGGUCUGUUGUGCCAUCGUAGGAUUCGAUGUUUACGGGUUUAAACCCUUCAGGGAUUUGAUGAUCCAUUACUUCGUCAGUGAAGCAUAGCGGGUGUGCGGCGCCUCUGUAUUGAGCAAUAUCACGACGCAGCUCGAGAGAGCGUUGUCUGCUGUGUUCGGCCCUGCCGGGGUUAUUGUAUCUGGCACGAUGGUAUUCGUCAUGGGUCGUGGGGCGCCCACGUGAUCCGUAGAUGGAUCUGGAUUGCCUUGCUUUGUCCUCCAAUAUAUCUCGCAAGUCCGGCGCGUUCCCUCUUGGCUUCGUACUUUUGGAGCGAUGCCGGGGUACGGUCUUGGUUGGGGGCCUGGAUGCCUCUCUGUCACGACCACGGGGUGGUCGGUCAGCCGUAUCAUGCGCUGGUGAUGGAGGUAUGUAUGCUUCCUCCUCUAAUCAGGGGAGCAGCUUGCGUCUUGGGUAACUUUUGGAGGGGCGUUUGAGUUUAUACUCUUCAGCUGCGAGGACCUCGGUCCAUCGAUCGGCCAGCAGAUCCUAAUCAGCUUGAAGCUGCUGCUGCUUUUUCUUUAGGCUAUUUGCCGUGGCGAUAAGCCUGCGUUUGAAACGCUCUUGUUCGACGGGAUCCUUGGGCACGACGAAUUCGUCGUCGUUGAGGCUUGCCUCGUCUUCGGAGGGAGGUGUAUAGUUAUAAUCCUCAACCUCUUCGUCUGCCACCCUCUCGUGAGGGCUUGCUUCUGCAUCCUCCCGCGCUGAGUCUUGCUGGAGGGGAUUAUCUUCGGCACUCUGUGGGGUAUUAUUAUCUCCUGUGCCGGAAUCUCCAUUCUUGCUGUGGCGGGAUUUAGAGCGGCCCCGCUGACGCCGGCGCUUGGGCUGUUUCUUUAAAGAAUCUGCCUCCGCUGCUUCUUCGCCGUCCCCGUCUUUUGGGGUGUCCACCAUGUAUAUGUCGUAUGAUGAUGUGGUCUUCCAGUGCCCUGUAGGCGCUGGUUCCUGUUUGUCUCCGACAUCGUCGUCCAUAGCAUCGAUGUCUUCGGAGUCGUAGUCUAGCAUGUCGGUUAGAUCGUCGACAGUGGCUACAAAGUGGGUGGUGGGUGGGCUCUGAAUUUCUUCGUCGUCCGUAUCCCAACCAUCCUGGCCAUAGUCCGGCCAGGACUCUCCGGAUAGCGAGAGAUGCUUUAGCGAGUUUAGGAUGUCGCCAAAGGGCGAGUGUUGGAAGAUGUCCAUUGCGGUGAAUUCCAUAACCGGCGCCCAAUCAGAUUCGAUUGGCAGGGGCGCGGGAGGUCUGGAGUCCGGCAAGGAGUCCGGCACCUCGGAGUCACGAGCUUCGCGAGGGACAAGCGUAGUGUUCGGCUCCAACGCCGUGGAAGUUGAAGCCCCCGAGGCGGUGUCUAACCACCGGUCCUCGAUCUGGGUGAUCGGCUCCGGUCUAAGGGCCAGAGCGGAUUGUUGUGCGGCCACCAAGGCACUGUUCGGUGACAGAGCUAGAUCAUGCCCAUCGUAACAGUGCGGCACGCUCGGCUGUGGCUCGAGCCCGUCGAAGAUCAAGUCCCCGCGGAUGUCGACCGUGAAGUUUAGGCUUCCGAAUCUAACCUGAAGGCCAGGGGCGUAGCUUUCGAUCUGCUCCAUAUGGCCAAGCGAAUUAGCCCGCAGUGCGAAGCCGCCGAAUACGAAGAUCUGUCCGGGGAGAAAAGUCUCACCCUGGACAGCGUCGUUGGUUGAAGAUGCCAUCGAACCUAUCGGUGACGACACAGAGGAACUCUCAAUGAAAGCACCAAUGUCGGUGUCAAAACCGGCGGAUCUCGGGUAGGGGAUCCCGAACUGUGCGUCUAGGCGGAUGGUAACAGGAGACGAGGGACACGAUGUUUUACCCAGGUUCAGGCCCUCUCGAUGGAGGUAAAACCCUACGUCCUGCUUGAUUAAUAUUGAUGAUAUGGGUAGUACAAGAGUGGAUCUACCACGAGAUCAAGGAGGCUAAACCCUAAAGCUAGCCUAUGGUAUGAUUGUUGUAAUGUAUGUUGUCCUACGGACUAAAGCCCUCCGGUUUAUAUAGACACCAGAGGAGGCUAGGGUUACACAGAGUCGGUUACAAUGGUAGGAGAUCUACAUAUCCGUAUCGCCAAGCUUGCCUUCCACGCCAAGGAAAGCCCCAUCCGGACACGGGACGGAGUCUUCAAUCUUGUAUCUUCGUAGUCUUGGAGUCCGGCGGACGAUGAUAGUCCGGCUAUCUGGACACCCCCUAGUCCAGGACUCCCUCACCGACCCUUGGGGGCUAUAGGUGAAGUUAAAUCAUUACUAUUCAAAGUCCCACCUCAUCUUGACAUAUUAAGCCGGCCCUUGGGGGAUACAUAUGCAAAGUUGAAGUAUUAUUAUUGGAAGUCCCGGUUUAUCUUGAAAGUAUAAAUCGGCCCUUGGGGGCUACUGGACUUGAUCUACAAAGCUAUUUGAAGUCUACAACAAAUUCUAUUCUAUCAUGUCCAGUAAACUUGGCGGCUAAUGGAAGUGUAUUCAUAUGAAGAGAGUUGUAAUGUUUACCUCAAAGCGCUCCUUCAUCAAGUUUACUAAGUCAGCUUCAAAGUGAUGGCUUGUGUACAGGAGGUUCAGGUACCUAGAGUGAAUCUCUUGGGCACUAAAGUGGGCAUAGCUUAAUAGAUUGGCUGACCACUUGCCUUUGUCAACAACGGAAAUUUCUUCCUUAGCGUUGUGCUUUGAUAGGACAGUGGUGAAGGAAAUAUGCCCUAGAGGCAAUAAUAAAGUUAUUAUUUAUUUCCUUAUAUCAUGAUAAAUGUUUAUUAUUCAUGCUAGAAUUGUAUUAACCAGAAACAUGAUACAUGUGUGAAUACAUAGACAAACAUAACGUCACUAGUAUGCCUCUACUUGACUAGCUCAUUAAUCAAAGAUGGUUAUGUUUCCUAACCAUAGACAUGUGUUGUCAUUUGAUUAAUGAGAUCACAUCAUUAGGAGAAUGAUGUGAUUGACAUGACCCAUUCCGUUAGCCUAGCACUUGAUUGUUUAGUAUAUUGCUAUUGCUUUCUUCAUGACUUAUACAUGUUCCUGUAACUAUGAGAUUAUGCAACUCCCGUUUACCGGAGGAACACUUUGGGUGCUACCAAACGUCACAACGUAACUGGGUGAUUAUAAAGGAGUACUACAGGUGUCUCCGAAGGUACAUGUUGGGUUGGCGUAUUUCGAGAUUAGGUUUUGUCACUCCGAUUGUCGGACAGGUAUCUCUGGGCCCUCUCGGUAAUGCACAUCACUAUAAGCCUUGCAAGCAAUGUAGCUAAUGAGUUAGUUACGGAAUGAUGCAUUAUGUAACGAGUAAAGAGACUUGCCGGUAACGAGAUUGAACUAGGUAUUGGAUACCAACGAUCGAAUCUCGGGCAAGUACCAUACCGAUGACAAAGGGAACAACGUAUGUUGUUAUGCGGUUUGACCGAUAAAGAUCUUCAUAGAAUAUGUAGGAGCCAAUAUGGGCAUCCAGGUUCCUCUAUUGGUUAUUGACCGAGAAUAGUUCUAGGUCAUGUAUAUAUAGUUCUCGAACCCGUAGGGUCCGCACGCUUAACGUUACGAUGACAGUUUUAUUAUGAGUUUAUAAGUUUUGAUGUACCGAAGUUUGUUCGGAGUCUAGGAUGUGAUCACGGACAUGACGAGGAGUCUCGAAAUGGUCGAGACAUAAAGAUUGAUAUAUUGGACGACUAUAUUCGGACACCGGAAGUGUUCCGGGUGGUUUCGGAGAAAACCGGAGUGCCGAAGGNNNNNNNNNNNNNNNNNNNNNNNNNNNNNNNNNNNNNNNNNNNNNNNNNNNNNNNNNNNNNNNNNNNNNNNNNNNNNNNNNNNNNNNNNNNNNNNNNNNNNNNNNNNNNNNNNNNNNNNNNNNNNNNNNNNNNNNNNNNNNNNNNNNNNNNNNNNNNNNNNNNNNNNNNNNNNNNNNNNNNNNNNNNNNNNNNNNNNNNNNNNNNNNNNNNNNNNNNNNNNNNNNNNNNNNNNNNNNNNNNNNNNNNNNNNNNNNNNNNNNNNNNNNNNNNNNNNNNNNNNNNNNNNNNNNNNNNNNNNNNNNNNNNNNNNNNNNNNNNNNNNNNNNNNNNNNNNNNNNNNNNNNNNNNNNNNNNNNNNNNNNNNNNNNNNNNNNNNNNNNNNNNNNNNNNNNNNNNNNNNNNNNNNNNNNNNNNNNNNNNNNNNNNNNNNNNNNNNNNNNNNNNNNNNNNNNNNNNNNNNNNNNNNNNNNNNNNNNNNNNNNNNNNNNNNNNNNNNNUAGGACUAGGAAAGGGGAGUCCUACUCCCACUAGGAGGAGGACUCCCCCCUCCUUGGCGCUCCCCCUAGGGCCGGCCGGCCUCCCCCCUUGCUCCUUUAUAUACGGGGGCAGGGGGCACCCUAGAGACACGUAAGUUGAUAUACGAAUCGUUCCUUAGCCGUGUGCGGUGCCCCCCUCCACCAUAUUCCACCUCGGUCAUAUCGUCGCGGAGUUUAGGCGAAGCCCUGCGCCGGUAGAGCAUCAUCAUCGUCACCACGCCAUCGUGCUGACGGAACUCAUCCCCGACACUUUGCUGGAUCGGAGUCCGGGGAUCGUCAUCGAGCUGAACAUGUGCUGAAUUCGGAGGUGCCGUACGUUCGGUACUUGGAUCAGUCGGAUUGUGAAGACGUACGACUACAUCAACCGCGUUGUCAUAAUGCUUCCGCUUACGGUCUACGAGGGUACAUGGACAACACUCUCCCCUCUCGUUGCUAUGUCAUCACCAUGAUCUUGUGUGUGCGUAGGAAAUUUUUUGAAAUUACUACGUUCCCCGACAGUGGCAUCCGAGCCUGGUUUUAUGCGUAGAUGUCAUAUGCACGAGUAGAACACAAGUGAGUUGUGGGCGAUACAAGUCAUACUGCUUACCAGCAUGUCAUACUUUGGUUCGGCAGUAUUGUGAGAUGACGCGGCCCUGACCGACAUUACGCGUACGCUUACGCGAGACUGGUUUCACCGUUACGAGCACUCGUGCUUAAAGGUGGCUGGCGGGUGUCUGUCUCCCACACUUUAGCUGAAUCGAGUGUGGCUACGCCCGGUCCUUGCGAAGGUUAAAACAGCAGUAACUUGACGAACUAUCGUUGUGGUUUUCAUGCGUAGGUAAGAACGGUUCUUGCUAAGCCCGUAGCAGCCACGUAAAAUUUGCAACAACAAAGUAGAGGACGUCUAACUUGUUUUUGCAGGGCAUGUUGUGAUGUGAUAUGGUCAAGACGUGAUGCUAUAUUUUAUUGUAUGAGAUGAUCUUGUUUUGUAACCGAAGUUAUCGGCAACUGGCAGGAGCCAUAUGGUUGUCGCUUUAUUGUAUGAAAUGCAAACGCCCUGUAAUUGCUUUACUUUAUCACUAAGCGGUAGCGAUAGUCGUAGAAGAAAUAGAUGGCGUAACGACAAUGAUGCUACGAUGGAUAUCAAGGUGUCGCGCCGGUGACGAUGGUGAUCACGACGGUGCUUCCAAGAUGGAGAUCACAAGCACAAGAUGAUGAUGGCCAUAUCAUAUCACUUAUAUUGAUUGCAUGUGAUGUUUAUCCUUUAUGCAUCUUAUCUUGCUUUGAUUGACGGUAGCAUUUUAAGAUGAUCUCUCACUAAAAUUAUCAAGAAGUGUUCUCCCUGAGUAUGCACCGUUGCAAAAGUUCUUCGUGCUGAGACACCACGUGAUGAUCGGAUGUGAUAGGCUCUACGUUCAAAUACAACGGGUGCAAAACAGUUGCACACGCGGAAUACUCAGGUUAAACUUGACGAGCCUAGCAUAUAACAGAUAUGGCCUCGGAACACGGAGACUGAAAGGUCGAGCGUGAAUCAUAUAGUAGAUAUGAUCAACAUAUUGAUGUUCACCGUUGAAACUACUCCAUCUCACGUGACGAUUGGACAUGGUGUAGUUGAUAUGGAUCACGUAAUCACUUAGAGGAUUAGAGGGAUGUCUAUCUAAGUCGGAGUUCUUAAGUAAUAUGAUUAAUUGAACGUAAAUUUAUCAUGAACUUAGUACCUGAUAGUAUUUUGCUUGUCUAUGUUUGUUGUAGAUAGAUGGCUCGUGCUGUUGUUCCGUUGAAUUUUAAUGCGUUCCUUGAGAAAGCAAAAUUGAAAGAUGAUGGUAGCAAUUACACGGACUGGGUCCGUAACCUGAGGAUUAUCCUCAUUGCCGCACAGAAGAAUUACGUCCUGGAAGCACCGCUGGGUGCCAGGCCUUCUGCUGAUGCAACUGACGACGUUAAAAACGUCUGGCAGAGCAAAGCUGAUGACUACUCGAUAGUUCAGUGUGCCAUGCUUUACGACUUAGAACCGGGUCUUCAACGACGUUUUGAACGUCAUGGAGCAUAUGAGAUGUUCCAGGAGUUGAAGUUAAUAUUUCAAGCAAAUGCCCGGAUUGAGAGAUAUGAAGUCUCCAAUAAGUUCUAUAGCUUCAAGAUGGAGGAGAAUAGUUCUGUCAGUGAACACAUACUCAAAAUGUCUGGGUAUAAUAAUCACUUGAUUCAGCUGGGAGUUAAUCUUCCUGAUGAUAGUUUCAUUGACAGAAUUCUUCAAUCACUGCCACCAAGCUACAAGAGCUUCGUGAUGAACUAUAAUAUGCAAGGGAUGGACAAGACUAUUCUCGAGCUCUUCGCAAUGCUAAAAGCCGCGGAGGUAGAAAUCAAGAAGGAGCAUCAAGUGUUGAUGGUUAACAAGACCACCAGUUUCAAGAAAAAGGGCAAAGGGAAGAAGAAGGGGAACUUCAAGAAGAACAGCAAACAAGUUGCUACUCAAGAGAAGAAACCCAAGUCUGGACCUAAGCCUGAAACUGAGUGCUUCUACUGCAAGGAGACUGGACACUGGAAGCGGAACUGCCCCAAGUAUUUGGCGGAUAAGAAGGAUGGCAAAGUGAACAAAGGUAUAUGUGAUAUACAUGUUAUUGAUGUGUAGCUUACUAAUGCUCGCAGUAGCACCUGGGUAUUUGAUACUGGUUCUGUUGCUAAUAUUUGCAACUCGAAACAGGGACUACGGAUUAAGCGAAGAUUGGCUAAGGACGAGGUGACGAUGCGGGUGGGAAAUGGUUCCAAAGUCGAUGUGAUCGCGGUCGGCACGCUACCUCUACAUCUACCAUCGAGAUUAGUUUUAGACCUAAAUAAUUGUUAUUUGGUGCCAGCAUUGAGCAUGAACAUUAUAUCUGGAUCUUGUUUGAUGCGAGACGGUUAUUCAUUUAAGUCAGAGAAUAAUGGUUGUUCUAUUUAUAUGAGUAAUAUAUUUUAUGGUCAUGCACCCUUGAAGAGUGGUCUAUUUUUGUUGAAUCUCGAUAGUAGUGAUACACAUAUUCAUAGUGUUGAAACCAAAAGAUACAGAGUUGAUAAUGAUAGUGCAACUUAUUUGUGGCACUGCCGUUUAGGUCAUAUCGGUGUAAAGCGCAUGAAGAAACUCCAUACUGAUGGGCUUUUGGAAUCACUUGAUUAUGAAUCACUUGGUACUUGCGAACCGUGCCUCAUGGGCAAGAUGACUAAAACGUCGUUCUCCGGAACUAUGGAGCGAGCAACUGAUUUGUUGGAAAUCAUACAUACGAAUGUUUGUGGUCCAAUGAAUGUUGAGGCUCGCGGUGGGUAUCGUUAUUUUCUCACCUUCACAGAUGAUUUGAGCAGAUAUGGGUAUAUCUACUUAAUGAAACACAAGUCUGAAACAUUUGAAAAGUUCAAAGAAUUUUAGAGUGAAGUGGAAAAUCAUCGUAACAAGAAAAUAAAAUUUCUACGAUCUGAUCAUGGAGGAGAAUAUUUGAGUUACGAGUUUGGUCUACACUUGAAACAAUACGGAAUAGUUUCGCCACUCACGCCACCCGGAACACCACAACGAAAUGCUGUGUCCGAACGUCGUAAUCAUACUUUACUAGAUAUGGUGCGAUCUAUGAUGUCUCUUACUGAUUUACCGCUAUUGUUCUGGGGUUAUGCUCUAGAGACGGCCGCAUUCACGUUAAAUAGGGCACCAUCGAAAUCCAUUGAGACGACGCCUCAUGAACUAUGGUUUGGCAAGAAACCAAAGUUGUCGUUUCUUAAAGUUUGGGGCUGUGAUGCUUAUGUGAAGAAACUUCAACCAGAUAAGCUCAAACCCAAAUCAGAGAAAUGUGUCUUCAUAGGAUACCCAAAAGAAACUGUUGGGUACACCUUCUAUAACAGAUCUGAGGGCAAGAUUUCCGUUGCUAAAUUCGGAUCCUUUCUAGAGAAGGAGUUUCUCUCGAAAGAAGUGAGUGGGAGGAAAGUAGAACUUGAUGAGAUAACUGUAUCUGCUCCCUUAUUGGAAAGUAGUUCAUCACAAGAACCGGUUCCUGUGACAACUACACCGAUUAGUGAGGAAGCUAGUGAUAUUAUCAUGAAACUUCAGAUCAAGUUUCUACUGAACCUCGUAGGUCUACCAGAGUGAGAUCCGCACCAGAGUGGUACGGUAAUCCUAUUCUGGAAGUCAUGUUACUUGACCAUGAUGAACCUACGAACUAUGAGGAAGCAAUGAUGAGCCCAGAUUCCGCAAAAUGGCUAGAGGCCAUGAAAUCUAAGAUGGGAUCCAUGUAUGAGAACAAAGUAUGGACUUUGGUUGACUUGCCCGAUGAUCGGCAGGCCAUUGAGAAUAAAUGGAUCUUUAAGAAGAAGACUGACGCUGAUGGUAAUGUAACUGUCUAUAAAGCUCGACUUGUUGCGAAAGGUUUUCGACAAGUUCAAGGGGUUGACUACGAUGAGACUUUCUCACCCGUAGCGAUGCUUAAGUCUGUCCGAAUCAUGUUAGCAAUUGCCGCAUUUUAUGAUUAUGAAAUUUGGCAAAUGGAUGUCAAAACUGCAUUCUUGAAUGGAUUUCUAGAAGAAGAGUUGUAUAUGAUGCAACCAGAAGGUUUUAUUGAUCCAAAAGGUGCUAACAAAGUGUGCAAGCUCCAGCGAUCCAUUUAUGGACUGGUGCAAGCAUCUCGGAGUUGGAAUAAACGCUUUGAUAGUGUGAUCAAAGCAUAUGAUUUUAUACAGACUUUUGGAGAAGCCUGUAUUUACAAGAAAGUGAGUGGGAGCUCUGUAGCAUUUCUAAUAUUAUAUGUAGAUGACAUAUUAUUAAUUGGAAAUGAUAUAGAAUUUCUGGAUAGCAUAAAGGGAUACUUGAAUAAAAGUUUUUCUAUGAAAGACCUCGGUGAAGCUGCUUAUAUAUUGGCCAUCAAGAUUUAUAGAGAUAGAUCAAGACGCUUAAUUGGACUUUCACAAAGCACAUACCUUGAUAAAGUUUUGAAAAAGUUCAAAAUGGAUCAGGCAAAGAAAGGGUUCUUGCCCGUGUUACAAGGUGUGAAAUUGAGUCAGACUCAAUGCCCGACCACAGCAGAAGAUAGAGAGAAAAUGAAAGAUGUUCCCUAUGCUUCAGCCAUAGGCUCUAUCAUGUAUGCAAUGCUAUGUACCAGACCUGACGUGUGCUUAGCAAUAAGCUUGGCAGGAAGGUACCAAAGUAAUCCAGGAGUGGAUCACUGGACAGCGGUCAAGAACAUCCUGAAAUACCUGAAAAGGACUAAGGAGAUGUUUCUCGUAUAUGGAGGUGACAAAGAGCUAGUCGUAAAUGGUUACGUCGAUGCAAGCUUUGACACUAAUCCAUACGAUUCUAAAUCGCAAACCGGAUACGUGUUUUUAUUAAACGGUGGAGUUGUAAGUUGGUGCAGUUCUAAACAAAGCAUCAUGGCGGGAUCUACAUGUGAAGCGGAGUACAUAGAUGCUUCGGAAGCAGCAAAUGAAGGAGUCUGGAUGAAGGAGUUCAUUUCCGAUCUAGGUGUCAUACCUAGUGCAUCGGGACCAAUGAAGAUCUUCGGUGACAAUACUGGGGCAAUUGCCUUGGCAAAGGAAUCCAGAUUUCACAAGAGGACCAAGCACAUCAAGAGACGCUUCAAUUCCAUCCGGGACCAAGUCCAAGUGGGAGAUAUAGAGAUUUGCAAGAUACAUACGGAUCUGAAUGUUGCAAACCCAUUAACUAAGCCUCUCUCACGAGCAAAACAUGAUCAGCACCAAGACUCCAUGGGUGUUAGAAUCAUUACUGUGUAAUCUAGAUUAUUGACUCUAGUGCAAGUGGGAGACUGAAGGAAAUAUGCCCUAGAGGCAAUAAUAAAGUUAUUAUUUAUUUCCUUAUAUCAUGAUAAAUGUUUAUUAUUCAUGCUAGAAUUGUAUUAACCGGAAACAUGAUACAUGUGUGAAUACAUAGACAAACAUAACGUCACUAGUAUGCUUCUACUUGACUAGCUCAUUAAUCAAAGAUGGUUAUGUUUCCUAACCAUAGACAUCUGUUAUCAUUUGAUUAAUGAGAUCACAUCAUUAGGAGAAUGAUGUGAUUGACAUGACCCAUUCCGUUAGCCUAGCACUUGAUCGUUUAGUAUAUUGCUAUUGCUUUCUUCAUGACUUAUACAUGUUCCUGUAACUAUGAGAUUAUGCAACUCUCGUUUACCGGAGGAACACUUUGGGUGCUACCAAACGUCACAACGUAACUGGGUGAUUAUAAAGGAGUACUACAGGUGUCUCUGAAGGUACAUGUUGGGUUGCCGUACUUCGAGAUUAGGUUUUGUCACUCCGAUUGUCGGAGAGGUAUCUCUGGGCCCUCUCGGUAAUGCACAUCACUAUAAGCCUUGCAAGCAAUGUAGCUAAUGAGUUAGUUACGGAAUGAUGCAUUACGUAACGAGUAAAGACACUUGCCGGUAACGAGAUUGAACUAGGUAUUGGAUACCGGCGAUCGAAUCUCGGGCAAGUAACAUACCGAUGACAAAGGGAACAACGUAUGCUGUUAUGUUGUUUGACCGAUAAAGAUCUUCGUAGAAUAUGUAGGAGCCAAUAUGGGCAUCCAGGUUCCGCUAUUGGUUAUUGACCGAGAAUAGUUCUAGGUCAUGUCUACAUAGUUCUCGAACCCGUAGGGUCCGCACGCUUAACGUUACGAUGACAGUUUUAUUAUGAGUUUAUAAGUUUUCAUGUACCGAAGUUUGUUUGUUGUCCCGGAUGUGAUCACGGACAUGACGAGGAGUCUCGAAAUGGUCGAGAUAUAAAGAUUGAUAUAUUGGACGACUAUAUUCGGACACCGGAAGUGUUCCGGGUGGUUUCAGAGAAAACCGGAGUGCCGGAGGGUUACCAGAACCCCCCGGGAGAAGUAAUGGGCCUUAGUGGGCCUGAGGGGAGAGAGAGGGCAGCAGCCUAGGAGGUGGCGCCCCCCCCCCCUUGAGGAGUACGAAUUGGACUAGGGGAGGGGGCGCGACCCCCCUUUCCCUCUCCCUCUCCCUCUCUUUCCUUCCCCCUUCCUCCUUCCUAGUAGGACUAGGAAAGGGGAGUCCUACUCCCACUAGGAGGAGGACUCCCCCUCCUUGGCGCGCCCCCUAGGGCCGGCCGGCCUCCCCCCCUUGCUCCUUUAUAUACGGGGGCAGGGGGGCACCCUAGAGAAACACAAGUUGAUCUACAGAUCGUUCCUUAGCCAUGUGCGGUGCCCCCCUCCACCAUAUUCCAACUCGAUCAUAUCGUCGCGGAGUUUAGGCGAAGCCCUGCGCCGAUAGAGCAUCAUCAUCGUCACCACGCGGUCGUGCUGACGGAACUCAUCCCCGACACUUUGCUGGAUCGGAGUCCGGGGAUCGUCAUCAAGCUGAACGUGUGCUGAACUCGGAGGUGUCGUACGUUCGGUACUUGGAUCGGUCGGAUCGUGAAGACGUACGACUACAUCAACCGCAUUGUCAUAAUGCUUCCGCUUACGGUCUACGAGGGUACGUGGACAACACUCUCCCCUCUCGUUGCUAUGUCAUCACCGUGAUCUUGCGUGUGCGUAGGAAAAUUUUCGAAAUUACUACGUUCCCCAACACGUAGGGUUGCCUUGCUCUAUAUAACCAUGCCCAGUAAUGACAACAUCAUCAGCCUUUUCUUUAGUAGGCUUGAUAGGGCUUGGCGGCUUAGUGGGGCUUGGCGGACUGGUGGUAGCUGGAUCAACAUCCAUCUUGUACAUGUCAAUAUUGUGAUCGAACAGUUGUGGCUCAUCGACGGUGGCUUCAGGAGCUUGAUGGGAGGUCUCUGCUACUGCUGCUCCGGCUCAGAGGGGUUUUCAGUGGUUUUUAUCGCCUUCAUUUUCUUGCUAGGCUUUGUCAUAGCCCUGUGAAUAAAUAGAAGAUAAAGUUAGUACAACAAUUGAGUAUAUAAUUGAAAGCAAAGACUUGACAGUCUUACCCAGGCGCUGGUUUGAAGGCCGGGACAUGAGCCCCGUUGAGUCGCCAGAGGAGGAAUGAGACGUCCCCUGAUAAUUUGAAUCAGAAGGACUAAGAGGUUGUCGAAAAAGACCAGCCCUAGAAUAAGUUAAGUCGGAGCUUGUUGAGACCUCUGGACGACGCUUGCAGGGAGCCGGAGUGUUUGGUAAGCCAGAGGAAAGGAUCCUGCUUCCGCUAUUCCAGGUUGUGCGGCGAGCUUAAUUUUGAUGCUUCUUCAAAAUAAAGUUGGGAUCCAAAUAAGACAAAGGAUGAGAAAACCUUACUUUCUGGCUUGCUUGGUGAGUUUUCGAUUUUGGCACAGAUUCUGAGCCGGAGGAAAGAACAAUUACCUCUUCAUCACCCGCAUGGCUGGCUUCUGCUUCCUCCUAGGAAGAAUCAUUGUCAAUGAGAUGUAUACAAAAUGAGCCAAGAGAGUCGAGUUCUACCUCCGACUCAUCAUCAUCACCAUCAUCAUCCAAGUUUAACUCGGAGGGAUUGGUGUUCUUCUUGGCAGGCCUUUUGGUGGCCUUGGUCUUGGUCCGGGACGGCUUCGCCGGCUUAUAUUGUGGCUUGUUCUUCCAAAACGGAGAAUCAGCCUGUGGAGGUCAGAUGAUCAUAAGUGGAUAGUACUAAUGAAAACAUGUUUCAAAUUGGAAGCAUGAUGUGCAACACUUACAGCAGGCGGCUCGUUGAAGGUGCAGUAAGGACUGAGUCCGGUUUUACUGUAUUCUACCCAGGUUUCAUUCAACAAAGCCUUGGUUGCUUUGGUGACUUCUACAUCAGAUAGUUGAAUUUCACAUUGGUGUUGGGGUUGUUUCAAGUCGCUGGUAUACUCGCACAUUAACCAAGGGCGACGGCUUAGGGGCAAGAUCCUCCAAGAGACCCAGCACCGAACAAGGUCGAUGCCGGUUAAGCCGUUAGCCAUGAAGGCUCUGAGCUUUGAAAAAGUGGGCGCAUACUUGGCCCGUUCCUUCAUGCUGAUCCGUGGUGGGAGUGGAUGUGUGUUGCUAAGCCGGUGGUCAUGAUAACCCGAUAGAGGAUUCUCGCCUGUUGGAGAUGUGUCUUGGCAAUAGAACCAAGUCUGGUUCCAGUCCUUUGGAUGACUGCACGGUUUGGCAUAUGGGAAGGAGGCCUCUUUCUGUUUCUGAAUUGAGACACCACCUAGCUCGAAGUUGGGCCCGUUGGUAAACUAUGUCUGCCGGUUUAAGUAAUAAAACACUCUGAACAGUUCGACUGUGGGCUCUUCUUGAAGAUAAGCUUCAGAAAAUACUUGGAAGUUGCAAAUAUUGGAUACGGAAUUGGGCCCAAUGUCUUGAGGAUGAAGUAGGAAAAAAUGUAGCACAUCUCGGAAGAACUUGAGUCAGGCGGAGUAAACCCCCGGAUCAUGUGGUCAAUUACUUCUCCUUCCUUGGGCUCAGGAGGAUUUUCAAAGCCUGGGACCCUCCAGUGGAUGUCCUCUUUCUUGGCUAAGGCGCCAGUUGCAACGAAAUUGUUCAGAUCUUCCUCGAUGACCCGGGAUGGUACCUAGUUGCAUGCAGUGAAUGUCUUAGUCAUGGUUGACGAUCUGAAAAGAAGAUUUUGUCGGUUUAAGGUUAUUAUGUUAAGCCAGUUGUUGGUUCAAGGGUAAGAACAAUAAAGCAUGCAAGUGUGUUAAGCAUUGGAGCUAUGAAGGCAAACUAUUGGCGGCUUAAGAGGGGACUAAUGGUACCUGGCGGGUUACGGUUUAUAAAUUAAGCCGCCCACAUAGUUAUCGAUUUUUAGAUCUGUGAGUGGAAAAAUUGCUAAGUGUUGGACAAAUAGCUUUCACAGAUCGAUGCUAUGAUUUUGGAUCUACGACGGUUCAAAUAAUGAAGAAAAGUCUAAACCUAAGUUGCGGCAGCAGAGCAGUUCAUGUGCUCACAUGGGAUCUCUCACGGAGAGGAGGUGUUUAAAUAUAAAAAAUGAGUUCUAAGGUUAGUGCCGCACAAGAUGUGCAUUAAACUUAUAGGAAACAGGGAAGAACAAAGAAGAGCGGAGAUGAACUCCGACGAUCUCGCACAAACCCUAAUGGGAUCUGCGGUGUGGGAAGAAGAAAAGUGUACCGGGGCUGUUGAAAUAGCGGAGGCGCGCGGACGAGCUCUAGUCCGUCCAGUUUGAUGCAGCGGCCGCGGUUGAGGCAGUGGCGAAGGUUGACGGCGGCGGCGGAGACCGGGCGCUGGAGGUGUUGUGAGGAAGAGGACGAAGACGUGGAGGCAAGGGCGGAAAGUGAAAGGGACCCCUGGCCCUAUUUAUAAGGUAGAAGGACAAGUGGCUGUCGCUGUUCUGGGAACGGGGGUCCACAGAUUUACUUGCCUGCGGCCUGUAGCGUGGCUCAAUCGGUGGCCCAGUGCGGCCCAUCUUCAUCAGCCAAACGCUCAAGACCCUCAUGAGGGGCCAAUCCUUGCGGGGCGGACGACACAAGACCCCCUCAGGGGCUACCUCACCAGGCAGGCUUGCGAGGUGCCCAUGACGCAAGCCAUGACGAUAAAGACCAGGCGGGCGCCAAGCAGGCGCCAGGCGGGCGCUAGCCCGCGCAGUGUCCUCGUUUCCUCUUUGGUGCAAAGGGGGCAAGCGUAGGCGCGGAGUACCGAGGCAUCAGGCAAAGGUUUCCAUAUCGAUGCAACGAGACCAAGACCAGCAGGACGUCAGGACGGAGGUCACUAUGGAGCCCAAGAUGGCGUCAUCACCAGCACCUUUGGCAGGCGAAGACCACCUUUAGUCGGGAUAGCUUGUACUACCUAUCCCCUUUCAAAAUGGCCGUUGUUGGAUCCCUUCCCGCUCAAUACUUGGGAAGAGGACCAGGGCCUCUAUAAAUAGGGCUAGCCACCACCAUAGAGAGGACGGAUAGAUUCCUCCUCAAGCACACCACCAACCAUAAGAACACCUCUCCUCGCGAGGCUGUUCUUCCCCUAUACUAUUCAUCAUCAGCCCAAGAGGCAAUCCACCACCACACAUAGGAGUAGGGUAUUACACCACAACGGUGGCCCGAACCUCUAUAAAUCUUAUGUCUCUUGUGUUGUUCAUCAAUCUAGCUUAGAAACCGCGGCGAGGCUGAGGGCGAGAUUUGGUAGGAGGAGAUCUUCAUGCGCACCCCAAAGUUCAAACCUUAAGGGUUUUGCCAGAACCCGAUAUCCGACAUUUGGUACGCCAGGUAGGGGUGCACCGGAAUCUUCCUUCCGUUGAUCUGCGUCCCAUCGCUUUGUCGCAUCCAUGGCAGAUGCUCCCGAGCCCGCGCCGAGCGCCGGGCUGCUCUCGCCGCUCACGUCGCCCAGACGGUUCCUAUCGGCGUGCCUCCUCGUCGUUCUCCAUCGCUUGCCACCAACGCUACCACCAGCCCGGUGGGGAACGAGCAGCAAGCAUCUUCGCUCCACCCCUCGGUGCGGCGGGAAGGCCGCACCGCCACUCCAUCGCUAACCCAACUGGUUCAUUGUCUCACGCUCGUCACGCCCCCACGGACGCGCAAGCUGCAUUGCUCCUGGCACGUGAGCUCCUGCACUACCGCCCCGUCGACGACCUCUACGAAGAAUGGCUCGCUUGCGUCACCGAGCUCGUCAGCGCCGCAGGGGGCUCUCCCGCGCCGUCCCUCUCGCUGCCUCGCCCUCCGUCAGGCAUGGGUGACGCAGCUCAGGGAGCGCCUCCGCCACCUCUCCCCCAAGACGGCACCCUGGCUCCAAGGCGUGCGGCCCCUGGACAUGACCCAUCGCAUCCAGCGCCCGCGCGACAAGAUAGAAGCUGCCAAGAAAUCCCUCGACCUCAAGAAGGUGCUCCCGUGCUUCCUGCACCAGCACGACAAGACUGCGUCCCUGCACCAGCGCGCCAAGGCCCUGCACUGCCCCUCGCGGCGGUACGUAGGUACCAGCAAGAGCAAGCCCUACAUCAGCAAAGGGCUCCGGUGACCACAGCAGGUUGCCGCACCUUCACCACCGAGCUGUGUAGCGUCGCCUGGCCAGGCAAGAUCAAGUCGGACCUGCCUCCUCUCUACGACGGCACUACCGACCCCGCGGAGUUCUUGCAGCUCUAUGAGCUGGCAUCGAGGCGGCCAAUGGAGACGAGAAGGUCAUGGCGAACUGGUUUCCCAUGGCGCUCAAGGACGACACACGCACCUGGCUCCUGAACCUGCCUCCCGGCUCGAUCUCCUCCUUGGACGAGAUGCGCAGCCGCUUCAUCGCCAACUUCUAGGGCACUUGCGACCGCCCCCCGGCCGCGGGUAACCUACGCCGCAUCAAGAAACUGCCUGGGGAGACCCUACAGAAAUACAUCCAGCGCUUCAACAGCGCCCGCCUCAAGAUCCCCAAGGUGACGGACGAGGCCAUCAUCUCAGCGUUCUCUGAUGGCGUCCACGACGUCAAGAUGAAGGAGGAGCUCGCCAUCCACGAGGAGCUGUGCACAUCCCUGGAGCUGUUCAACCUGGCAACCAAGUGUGCAAGAGCUGAGGAAAGACGCCUCUCCCUCCUCUAGCUUCUAGCCACCGACCCAGAAGAGAAGAAGGCCAAGGCCAAGGACGUGAAGUGCAAAGGAACCGCCAUGCUCGCAGCAGAACCAGACACGAAGCGCGGCAGGGACCAGCCGGAGUCGUCAAAGGGCAGCCGACCGUUCUGCGCUUACCACAACCUCCACACCCACAACACCAAUGAAUGCCUAGAGCUCAGGGCCGUUCAAGAAGGACGCUUCGGUCGACGCCCCGAGCGCAACGACCAGGGCUACGGCCGAGGAGGAGGACGUGGCGGAGGACGAUGGGACGAGCGUGGCCCUCGCUAGGAGUGGCAUGACCGACCUCGUGAGGAUCACUGGCAGGACCAGCCUCGCAAGGGCGCCUGGAGGGAUCAGCCUCGUGAAGAUCGCCCACAAGGCAACGCAGGCCUUCCUCCUCUGCCACCGCCGCCAAGAAGGAAUGAUGACCAUCACCAGGACAAGGGGGCUGGGGGCUUCCAGGAACCGUGUUCUAUCGCUUGCAUCUUGGGAGGAGCUCAGGCCCCAGCCUCUCAGCGCAUGUUCAAGCAGUUUGCUCGCGAGGUGAAUGCAGUCCUCCCCAAGCUCGAGGCCAAGCGCCCGCUAAGGUGGUCCAAGUGCACCAUCACCUUCAGCUCAGCAGAUCAGCUCAAGUGUGCGGCUACAGCUGGCGUCCUCCCAAUGCUUUGUUCCCUAGUCAUCAGCAACGUGCAAGUCACCAGGACCCUCAUUGAUGGCGGGCAGGGCUCAACAUCCUGUCCGUCGAGAUGUUCGACAACCUUCAAGUGCCAUAUGAUCAGCUCUAGCCAACCAAGCCUUUCUCAGGUGUCACUGACGGCUCCACCACCCCGAUAGAGCAGGUUCGCCUCCCUGUCACCUUCGGCCAGCGCGACAACUACCGCACCGAGCUCAUCGACUUCGACAUCACCCGCAUCCACCUACCGUACAAUGCCAUCCUCAAGUAUCCAGCCCUAGCCAAGUUCAUGGCGGUGAUGCACCAUGGCUACAACGUCCUCAAGAUGCCAGGAAACGGCAGAAUCAUCACGGUCCCCUGCGAAGAAAGAGAUGCGGUGUGCUCCCUCGAGCGCGCCUUCCAAGCUGCAUCAAUCGAGGACCCAGACAGCAGGGGCAAGAAUCCUCCUGAGGUAGUCCCCAAGAAGAAGAAGACACUGCUCAGCUCAAGGCCUCGUGAGGUUGGCAUCUCAGGAGGUGCUGUGUCAGGAUCACCGCCCGCACAAGGGGCGCCUCCCUCCAUCGCGUAGGAAGGCGUGCCCGCGCCCUCCUCGGGCAGGGCUCUGGGGCUCUCUUCUGGAGGGCCUCAGACUUUGCCAACAUCACAAGGGAGGCGCUCGGGCACGUUUCCCUCAGGAGGUUUUAGGGCGUGGAAGGCCCAACGUUUAGGAGUUCAUCACCAAAACCACUCAGGAGCUUCAGGAAGCAAGAGCCAUGCGCGGCGACCGCCGCUUGCCUAGCGUGGCCCCCAUCCAGGUGAGGAUGGUGGGCUGCGCGUUUGCAUCGACGUCCCAGGGCUCAACCGAGCCGCGUCUUAGGAGGGUCUCUAGCCUUCGCGCGUGGGACGCUGCGAGGGUCCGCCACACAGCUACGUUCGCAUGCCUUUCGGCCUGCCGAACGCGGCUGCCACCUUCUAGCGUCACAUGCAGAGCAUUCUGGCGACCCAGGAGGCCAGGCACCACGUGGUCCUAGCGGAGAUGGAGACGGUCCUCGAGGAGCCACCUAGACCCGCUGAGCCUCCCGAGGCUCAGGGCUUUGGUAGCUCGUGAGGAACGGCCUCUUCACUGCGCGUCUUUAGCUACUCCAACACCCCCUCCACAAUGGAACCAGGUGAUAUCUUUCAAGUUCAUUUCAGCUGGGAGCGCCCUCAGGGCCGCAUCAUUCCCAGGCCUUGUGGGUGUGUGAUACGUCUCCAACGUAUCUAUAAUUUUUGAUUGUUCCAUGCUAUUAUAUUACCAUUUUUGGAUGUUUAUGGGCUUUAUUUUACACAUUUAGAUCAUUUUUGGGACUAACCUACUAACCGGAGGCCCAGCCCAUAUUGCUGGUUUUUUUCCUAUUUCAGUAUUUCGAAGAAAAGGAAUAUCAAACGGAGUCCAAACGAAAUGAAACCUUCGAGAGCGUGAUUUUUGGAACGAACCUGAUCCGGAGAGCUUGGAGUGCAAGUCAAGAAGCUCCCGAGGGCCCCACGAGAUAGGGGACCGCCCCCCUGUCUCGUGGGCCCCUCGGGCGGCCACCGACGUACUUCUUCCUCCUAUAUAUACCUAUGUACCCCGAAAACAUCCAGGGGCACCACGAAACACAACUUCCACUGCCGUAACCUUCUGUAUCCACGAGAUCUCAUCUUGGAGCCUUCGCCGGCACUCUGCCGGAGGGGGAAUCAACCAUGGAGGGCUUCUACAUCAACAUCCUUGCCCCUCCGAUGAGUUGUGAGUAGUUUACCACAGACCUACGGGUCCAUAGUUAUUAUCUAGAUGGCUUCUUCUCUCUUUUUGGAUCUCAAUACAAUGUUCUCCCCCUCUCUUGUGGAGAUCUAUUCGAUGCAAACUCUUUUUGCUGUGUGUUUUUCGAGAUCCGAUGAAUUGUGGGUUUAUGACCAAGUUUGUCUAUGAAUAGUAUUUGAAUCUUCUCUAAAUUCUUUUAUGUGUGAUUGAGUUAUCUUGGCAAGUCUCUUCGAAUUAUCAGUUUGGCUUGGCCUACUAGAUUGGUCUUUCUUGCCAUGGGAGAAGUGCUUAGCUUUGGGUUCAAUCUUGCGGUGUCCUUACCCAGUGACAGAAAGGGUUGCAAGGCACGUAUUUUAUUGUUGCCAUCGAGGAUAACAAGAUGGGUUUAUAUCAUAUUACAUGUGUUUAUCCCUCUACAUCAUGUCAUCUUGCUUAAUGCAUUACUCUGUUCUUAUGAACUUAAUACUCUAGAUGCAGGCAAGAGUCGGUCGAUGUGUGGAGUAAUAGUAGUAGAUGCAGGCAGGAGUCGGUCUACUUGCUAUGGACGUGAUGCCUAUAUACAUGAUCAUGCCGAAAUAAUCUCAUAACUAUGUGCUUUUCUAUCAAUUGCUCGACAGUAAUUUGUUCACCCACCGUAACACUUAUGCUAUCUUGAGAGAAGCCUCUAGUGAAACCUAUGGCCCCCAGGUCUAUCUCCUAUCAUAUUUGCUUUCCAUCUACUUUUAUUUGGAUCUUUACUUUUUGCAUGUAUAUCAUGAAAUACCAAAAAUAUAAUAUCUUAUCAUACUAUCUUUAUUAUAUCUCACUUUUGCAAGUGGCCAUGAAGGGAUUGACAACCCCUUUAUUAUGUUGGUUGCGAGUUCUCAGUUUGUUUGUGUAGGUGCGUGGGACUUUUGAGGAGCCUCCUGCUGGAUUGAUACCUUGGUUCUCAAAACUGAGGGAAAUAGUUACGCUACACUUUCCUGCAUCACCCUCUCCUCUUCGAGGAAAACCAACGCAAGCUCAAGACAUUGCAAGAAGGAUUUCUGGCACCGUUGCCGGGGAGGUCUUCGCUCAAGUCAAGACAUACCAAGUACCCAUCACAAACCCAUUUCCCUCGCAUUUACAUUAUUUGCCAUUUGCCUCACAUUUUCCUCUCCACCACUUCACCCUUGCCAUUUUAUUCGCCCUCUCUUUCCCAAUCUCCUCCUCUCUUUUGCUUGCCUUUUGUUUGCUCGUGUGUUAGUGCGUUUACCUUGUCAUCAUGUCUAGUUCCUUAUCCGCUCCUAUGUCUCCCGAGUUUGAAGUUCUUCACUUCAAGCAAAGGACAGGAUAAAAUUUAAAAGAUGCUUGGUAUAGGAUGAUGGAAUCUUAUCGCAAGUGCAUCCUAGAGGUGAACUUUAGAAUUCUUCUUCGUAAUUUUUAUGUUGGGUUAAAUAUGACGCAUAGACAACUCUUGGAUUGCAUUGCCAAGGGAAAUUUCAUUGAAAUUGAUCCUAGUAUUGCGCAUGAAAUUAUAGAGUAUGAAGGGAAGUGGAAAGAACCUCCCGGAUUCGAGCAUGACUCCACUAAAAAACUGAAAAUACAAGAUGGCACUCGUUAGAUCUAUCUUUGCUUUUAUGCCUAGCUAGGGGCGUUAAACGAUAGCGCUAGUUGGGAGGCAACCCAAUUUUUCUUUGCGUUUUUUGUUCUUGCUCCUGUUUAGUAAUAAAUCUUGCAUCUACCUACUGUUUAGAUGUGUUUUAAUCUUUUAAUUAGUGUUUGUGCCAAGUAGAACCUAUAGGAUAACCUACGAUGAUAGUUGAUUUGAUUCUGCUGAAAAACAGAAACUUUGCACGGACGAAUAUAAUUUUGUUAAAUCACAGGAAUGUGAUUUUGCAUUGAUUCUUUUUGAUUAUGUUCAAUAAACAAAUUUUCCAGGACUUCCUAUUUGGGUAGGAUAUUUGGAGGUCCAGAAGUUUGCGUUAGUUACAGAUUGCUACAGACUGUUCUGUUUUUGACAGAUUCUGUUUUUCGUGUGUUGUUUGCUUAUUUCAAUGCAUCUAUGGCUAGUAAUUUAGUCUAUGAACCAUAAAGAAGUUGGAAUACAGUAGGUUUAACACCAAAUUAAAUAAAUAAUGAGUUCAUUGCAGUACCUUAUGUGGUGGUUUUGUUUUCUUUCACUAACAGAGCUUAUAAGAUUUCCUGUUGAGUUUUGUGUUAUGAAGUUUUCAAGUUUUGGGUAAAGCUUUUAUGGACUAUGGAAUAAGGAGUGGCAAGAGACUAAGCUUGGGGAUGCCCAUGGCACCCCAAGAUAUUCAAGAAUAGCCAAAAGCCUAAGCUUGGGGAUGCCCCGAGAAGGCAUCCCCUCUUUCGUCUUUGUUCAUUGGUAACUUUACUUGGAGCUAUAUUUUUAUUCGCCACAUGAUAUGUGUUUUGCUUAGAGCGUUGUAUAUUAUAUUAGUCUUUGCUUUUUAGUUUACCACAAUCAUCCUUGCUGUACACACCUUUUGGGAGAAGCCUAUUUGAUUAGAAUUUGCUAGAAUACUCUAUGUGCUUCACUUAUAUCAUUUGAGCUUGAUAGUUUUUGCUCUAGUGCUUCACUUAUAUUUUUUAGAGCACGGUGGUGUAUUAAUUUUGAAGAAAUUGCUAGUAUCUCAUGCUUCACUUAUAUCUUUUUGAGAGUCUUUUAGAACAGCAUGGUAUUUGCUAUGGUCAUAAAGUUGGUCCUAGAAUGAUGAGCAUCCAAGUUGGGUAUAACAAAAACUAUCAUAGAAAAGAGAAUUGGAUGCUAUGAUCAACUUGAUACUUGAUAAUUGUUUUGAGAUAUGGAGGUAGUGAUAUUAAAGUCAUGCUAGUUGGGUGAUUAUGACAUCAAAGAAUGCUUGUGUUGAAGUUAGCAAGUCCUGUAGCAUGCACGUAUGGUUAAAGUCGUGUAACAAAUUUGAAACAUAAAGUGUACUUGGCUUGUGCAUCCUUAUGUGUGGCGGUCAGGGACGAGCGAUGGUCUUUUCCUACCAAUCUAUCCCCCUAGGAGCAUGCGCGUAGUGCUUGAUUUUUGAUGAUUUCUAAAUUCUUGCAAUAGGUAUAUGAGUUCUUUUGACUAAUGUUGAGUCCAUGGAUUAUACGCACUUCUACCUUUCCACCUUUGCUCUACCUUUCCACCUUUGCUAGCCUCUUCGGUACCGUGCAUUGCCCUUUCUCACCUUGAGAGUUGGUGCAAACUUCGCUGGUGCAUCCAAACCCCGUGAUAUGAUACGCUCUAUCACACAUAAACCUCCUUAUAUCUUCCUUAAAACAGCCACCAUACCUAUCUAUUAUGGCAUUUCCAUAGCCAUUCUGAGAUAUAUUGCCAUGCAACUUUCCACCGUUCCGUUCAUCAUUUUCAUGACAUACUUUACUUUUGUCAUAUUGCCAUUGCAUGAUCAUGUAGUUGACAUCGUAUUUGUGGCAAAGCCACCAAGCAUUAUUUUUAAUACGUGUCACUCUUGAUUCAUUGCACCAUCCCGGAACACCGCCGGAGGCAUUCAUAUAGAGUCAUAUCUUGUUCUAAGUUUCGAGUUGUAAUUUUUAUGUUGCAAUCAAUAGAAGUGUGAUGAUCAUCAUUAUUAGAGCAUUGCCCAAAAAAAGAAAAAAAAGAAGAAAGGCCAAAAAAAAAGAAAGGCCCAAAAAAUAAAAUAAAAUAAAAGAGAAAAAAGGGGAAAAAGAAAAAAAAGAAAAUAAAUAAAAAGGGCAAUGUUACUAUCUCUUUUUCCACACUUGUGCUUCAAAGUAGCACCUUGUUCUUCACGUAGUGAGUCUCAUAUAUUGUGCUUCAAAGUAGCACCACGUUUUUCAUAUAGUGGGUCUCCUAAGUUGUCUUUUUCAUACUAGUGGGAAUUUUUCAUUAUAGAACUUGGCUUGUAUAUUCCUACAAUGGGCUUCCUCAAAUGUCCUAGGUCUUCGUGAGCAAGCAAGUUGGAUGCACACCCACUAGUUUUAUUUUGUUGAGCAUUGUUCUAUAGCUCUAGUGCAUCCGUUGCAUGGCAAUCCCUACUCCUCAUGUUGACAUCAAUUGAUGGGCAUCUCCAUAGCCCGUUGAUUAUCGUCGUCAAUGUGAGACUUUCUCCUUUUUGUCUUCUCCACACAAUCCCCAUCAUCAUAUUCUAUUCCACCCAUAGUGCUAUAUCCACGGCUCAUGCUCAUGUAUUGCGUGAAGGUUGAAAAAGUUUGAGAUUAUUUAAGUAUGAAACAAUUGCUUGGCUUGUCAUCGGGGGUAUAGAAGUUGGGAACAUCUUUGUGUGACGAAAAUGAAGCAUAGCCUAACUAUAUGAUUUUGUAGGGAUGAACUUUCUUUUGCCAUGUUAUUUUGAGAAGACAUGAUUACUUUGAUUAGUAUGCUUGAAGUGUUACUAUUUCCUAUGUCAAUAUGAACUUUUAUUUUGAAUCAUUUGGAUCUGAACAUUCAUGCCACAAUAAUGAAAAUUACAUUAUGAAUUAUGCUAGGUAGCAUUCCACAUCAAAAAUUCUCUUUUUAUCAUUUACCUACUCGAGGACAAGCUGGAAUUAAGCUUAGGGAUGCUUGAUACAUCGCCAACUUAUCUAUAAUUUUUGAUUAUUCCAUGCUAUUAUAUUACCCCUUUUGGAUGUUUAUGGGCUUUAUUUUACACAUUUAGAUCAUUUUUGGGACUAACCUACUAACCGGAGGCCCAGCCCAUAUUGCUGGUUUUUUUCCUAUUUCAGUAUUUCGAAGAAAAGGAAUAUCAAACGGAGUCCAAACGAAAUGAAACCUUCGAGAGCGUGAUUUUUGGAACGAACCUAAUCCGGAGAGCUUGGAGUGCAAGUCAAGAAGCUCCCGAGGGCCCCACGAGAUAGGGGGGCGCCCCCCCCCCUGUAGGGAGCGCCCCCCUGUCUUGUGGGCCCCUCGGGUGGCCAUCGACGUACUUCUUCCUCCUAUAUAUACCUACCUACCCCGAAAACAUUCGGGGGCACCACGAAACACAAUUUCCACCAGCGUAACCUUCUGUAUCCGUGAGAUCUCAUCUUGGAGCCUUCACCGGCACUCUGUCGGAGGGGGAAUCAAGCACGGAGGGCUUCUACAUCAACAUCCUUGCCCCUCCGAUGAGUUGUGAGUAGUUUACCACAGACCUACGGGUCCAUAAUUAUUAGCUAGAUGGCUUCUUCUCUCUUUUUGGAUCUCAAUACAAUGUUAUCCCCCUCUCUUGUGAGAUCUAUUCGAUGUAAACUCUUUUUGCGGUGUCUUUGUCGAGAUCCGAUGAAUUGUGGGUUUAUGAUCAAGUUUAUCUAUGAAUAAUAUUUGAAUCUUCUCUGAAUUCUUUUAUGUAUGAUUGAGUUAUCUUUGCAAGUCUCUUUGAAUUAUCAGUUUGGUUUGUCCUACUAGAUUGGUCUUUCUUGCCAUGGGAGAAGUGCUUAGCUUUGGGUUCAAUCUUGCGGUGUCCCUACCCACUGACAGAAAGGGUUGCAAGGCACGUAUUGUAUUGUUGCCAUCGAGGAUAACAAGAUGGGUUUAUAUGAUAUUGCAUGUGUUUAUCCCUAUACAUCAUGUCAUCUUGCUUAAUGUGUUACUCUGUUCUUAUGAACUUAAUACUCUAGAUGCAGGCAGGAGUCGGUCGAUGUGUGGAGUAAUAGUAGUAGAUGCUGGCAGGAGUCGGUCUACUUGUUAUGGACGUGAUGCCUAUAUACAUGAUCAUGCCGAAAUAAUCUCAUAACUAUGUGCUUUUCUAUCAAUUGCUCGACAGUAAUUUGUUCACCCACCGUAAUACUUAUGCUAUCUUGAGAGAAGCCUCUAGUGAAACCUAUGGGCCCCGGGUCUAUCUCCUAUCACAUUUUGUUUCCAUCUACUUUUAUUUGCAUCUUUACUUUUUGCAGCUAUAUCAUAAAAUACCAAAAAUAUAUUUAUCUUAUCAUACUAUCUUUAUUAGAUCUCACUUUCGCAAGUGGCCAUGAAGGGAUUGACAACCCCUUUAUUAUGUUGGUUGCGAGUUCUCAGUUUGUUUGUGUAGGUGUGUGGGACUUUUGAGGAGCCUCUUACUGGAUUGAUACCUUGGUUCUCAAAACUGAGGGAAAUACUUACGCUACACUUUGCUGCAUCACCCUCUCCUCUUCGAGGAAAACAAACGCAAGAUCAAGACGUAGCAAGAAGGACUUCUGGCGCCGUCGCCGGGGAGGUCUUCGCUCAAGUCAAGACAUACCAAGUACCCAUCACAAACCCAUCUCCCUCGCAUUUACAUUAUUUGCCAUUUGCCUCUCGUUUUCCUCUCCCCCACUUCACCCUUGCUGUUUUAUUCGCCCUCUCUUUCCCAAUCUCCUCCUCUCUUUUGCUUGCCUUUUGUUUGCUCGUGUGUUAGUGCGUUUACCUUGUCAUCAUGUCUAGUUCCUUAUCCGCUCCUAUGUCUCCCGAGUUUGAAGUUCUUCACUUCAAGCAAAGGGAAGUAGAAAAUUUAAAAGAUGCUUGGUAUAGGAUGAUGGAAUCUUAUCGCAAGUGCACCCUAGAGGUGAACUUUAGAAUUCUUCUUCGUAAUUUUUAUGUUGGGUUAAAUAUGACGCAUAGACAACUCUUGGAUUGCAUUGCCAAGGGAAAUUUCAUUGAAAUUGAUCCCAGUAUUGCGCAUGAAAUUAUAGAGUAUGAAGGGAAGCGGAAAGAACCUCCCGGAUUCGAGCAUGACUCCACUAAAAAACUGAAAAUACAAGAUGGCACUCGUUAGAUCUAUCUUUUCUUUUAUGCCUAGCUAGGGGCGUUAAACGAUAGCGCUAGUUGGGAGGCAACCCAAUUUUUCUUUGUGUUUUUUGUUCUUGCUCCUGUUAGUUAAUAAAUCUUGCAUCUACCUACUGUUUAGAUGUGUUUUUAUCUUUUAAUUGGUGUUUGUGCCAAGUAGAACCUAUAGGAUAACCUACGAUGAUAGUUGAUUUGAUUCUGCUGAAAACAGAAACUUUGCGCGCACGAAUAUAAUUUUGUUAAAUCACAGGAACGUGAUUUUGGGUUGAUUCUUUUUUAUUAUGUUCAAUAAACAAAUUGUCCAGGACUUCCUAUUUGGGUAGGAUAUUUUGAGUUCCAGAAGUUUGCGUUAGUUACAGAUUGCUACAGACUGUUCUGUUUUUGACAGAUUCUGUUUUUCGUGUGUUGUUUUCUUAUUUCAAUGCAUCUAUGGCUAGUAAUUUAGUCUAUGAACCGUAAAGAAGUUGGAAUACAGUAGGUUUAACACCAAAUUAAAUAAAUAAUGAGUUCAUUGCAGUACCUUAUGUGGUGGUUUUGUUUUCUUUCACUAACAGAGCUUAUAAGAUUUCCUGUUGAGUUUUGUGUUGUGAAGUUUUCAAGUUUUGGGUAAAGCUUUUAUGGACUAUGGAAUAAGGAGUGGCAAGAGCCUAAGCUUGGGGAUGCCCAUGGCACCCCAAGAUAUUCAAGAAUAGCCAAAAGCCUAAGCUUGGGGAUGCCCCGGGAAGGCAUCCCCUCUUUCGUCUUCGUUCAUUUGUAACUUUACUUGGAGCUAUAUUUUUAUUCGCCACAUGAUAUGUGUUUUGCUUGGAGCGUCGUGUAUUAUAUUAGUCUUUGCUUUUUAGUUUACCACAAUCAUCCUUGCUGUACACACCUUUUGGAAGAAGCCUAUUUGAUUAGAAUUUGCUAGAAUACUCUAUGUGCUUCACUGAUAUCUUUUGAGCUUGUAGUUUUUGCUCUAGUGCUUCACUUAUAUUUUUUAGAGCACGGUGGUGUCUUAAUUUUGAAGAAAUUGCUAGUCUCUCAUGAUUCACUUAUAUCUUUUUGAGAGUCUUUUAGAACAGCAUGGUAUUUGCUAUGGUCAUAAAGUUGGUCCUAGAAUGAUGAGCAUCCAAGUUGGGUAUAAUAAAAACUAUCAUAGAAAAGAGAAUUGGAUGCUAUGAUCAACUUGAUACUUGAUAAUUGUUUUGAGAUAUGGAGGUAGUGAUAUUAAAGUCAUGCUAGUUGGGUGAUUAUGAAUUCAAAGAAUGCUUGUGUUGAAGUUAGCAAGUCACGUAGCAUGCAUGUAUGGUUAAAGUUGUGUAACAAAUUUGAAACAUGAAGUGUACUUGGCUUGUGCAUCCUUAUGAGUGGCGGUCGGGGAUGAGCGAUGGUCUUUUCCUACCAAUCUAUCCCCCUAGGAGCAUGCGCGUAGUGCUUGAUUUUUGAUGACUUCUAAACUUUUGCAAUAAGUAUAUGAGUUCUUUUCACUAAUGUUGAGUCCAUGGAUUAUACGCACUUCUACCUUUCCACCUUUGCUAGCCUCUUCGGUACCGUGCAUUGCCCUUUCUCACCUUGAGAGUUGGUGUAAACUUCGCCGGUGCAUCCAAACCCCGUGAUACGAUACGCUCUAUCACACAUAAACCUCCUUAUAUAUUCCUCAAAACAGCCACCAUACCUACCUAUUAUGGCAUUUCCAUAGCCAUUCCGAGAUAUAUUGCCAUGCAACUUUCUGCCGUUCCAUUCAUCAUUUUCAUGACGUACUUUACUUUUGUCAUAUUGCCAUUGCAUGAUCAUGUAGUUGACAUCGUAUUUGUGGCAAAGCCACCAAGCAUUAUUUUUGAUACAUGUCACUCUUGAUUCAUUGCACCAUCCCGUUACACCGCCGGAGGCAUUCAUAUAGAGUCAUAUCUUGUUCUAAGUUUCGAGUUGUAAUUUUUAUGUUGUAAUCAAUAGAAGUGUGAUGAUCAUCAUUAUUAGAGAAUUGCCCAAAAAAGAAGAAAAAAAGAAGAAAGGCCAAAUGAAAAAAAGAAAGGCCCAAAAAAUAAAAGAAAAAAAUAAAAAAAGGAGAAAAGGAAAAAAAAGAAAAUAAAUAAAAAGGGCAAUGUUACUAUCUCUUUUUCCACACUUGUGCUUCAAAGUAGCACCUUGUUCUUCAUGUAGUGAGUCUCAUAUAUUGUGCUUCAAAGUAGCACCACGUUUUUCAUAUAGUGGGUCUCCUAAGUUGUCUUUUUCAUACUAGUGGGAAUUUUUCAUUAUAGAACUUGGCUAGUAUAUUCCUACAAUGGGCUUCCUCAAAUGCCCUAGGUCUUCGUGAGCAAGCAAGUUGGAUGCACACCCACUAGUUUUAUUUUGUUGAGCAUUGUUUUAUAGCUCUAGUGCAUCCGUUGCAUGGCAAUCCCUACUCCUCGUGUUGACAUAAAUUGAUGGGCAUCUCCAUAGCCCGUUGAUUAUCCUCGUCAAUGUGAGACUUUCUCCUUUUUGUCUUCUCCACACAAUCCCCAUCAUCAUAUUCUAUUUCACCCAUAGUGCUAUAUCCAUGGCUCAUGCUCAUGUAUUGCAUGAAGGUUGAAAAAUUUUGAGAUCAUUUAAGUAUGAAACAAUUGCUUGGCUUGUCAUCGGGGGUAUAGAAGUUGGGAACAUCUUUCUGUGACGAAAAUGAAGCACAGCCUAACUAUAUGAUUUUGUAGGGAUGAACUUUCUUUUGCCAUGUUAUUUUGAGAAGACAUGAUUACUUUGAUUAGUAUGCUUGAAGUGUUACUAUUUUCUAUGUCAAUAUGAACUUUUAUUUUGAAUCAUUUGGAUCUGAACAUUCAUGCCACAAUAAAGAAAAUUACAUUAUGAAUUAUGCUAGGUAGCAUUCCACAUCAAAAAUUCUCUUUUUAUCAUUUACCUACUCGAGGACGAGCAGGAAUUAAUCUUGGGGAUGCUUGAUACGUCUCCAACGUAUCUAUAAUUUUUGAUUGUUCCAUGCUAUUAUAUUACCCCUUUUGGAUGUUUAUGGGCUUUAUUUAACACAUUUAUAUCAUUUUUGGGACUAACCUACUAACCGGAGGCCCAGCCCAUAUUGCUGGUUUUUUUUGCCUAUUUCAGUAUUUCGAAGAAAAAGGAAUAUCAAACGGAGUCCAAACGGAAUGAAACCUUCGGGAGCGUGAUUUUUGGAAUGAACCUGAUCCGGAGAGCUUGGAGUGCAAGUCAAGAAGCUCCCAAGGGCCCCGCAAGAUAGGGGGCCGCCCCCCUGUAGGGCGCGCCUCCCUUCUCGUGGGCCCCUCAGGCUGCCACCGACAUACUUCUUCCUCCUAUAUAUACCUACGUACCCCGAAAACAUCCGGGGGCACCACGUAACACAACUUCCACCGCCGUAACCUUCUGUAUCCACGAGAUCUCAUCUUGGAGCCUUCGCUGGCACUCUGCCGAAGGGGGGAUCAACCACAGAGGGCUUCUACAUUAACAUCAUUGCCCCUCCGAUGAGUUGUGAGUAGUUUACCACAGACCUACGGGUCCAUAGUUAUUAGCUAGAUGGCUUCUUCUCUCUUUUUGGAUCUCCAUACAAUGUUCUCCCCCUCUCUUGUGGAGAUCUAUUUGAUGUAAACUCUUUUUGCUAUGUGUUUGUCGAGAUCCGAUGAAUUGUGGGUUUAUGAUCAAGUUUAUCUAAGAAUAAUAUUUAAAUCUUCUCUAAAUUCUUUUAUGUAUGAUUGAGUUAUCUUUGCAAGUCUCUUCGAAUUAUCGGUUUGGUUUGGCCUACUAGAUUGGUCUUUCUUGCCAUGGGAGAAGUGCUUAGCUUUGGGUUCAAUCUUGCGGUGUCCUUACCCAGUGACAGAAAGGGUUGCAAGGCAUGUAUUGUAUUGUUGCCAUCGAGGAUAACAAGAUGUGGUUUAUAUCAUAUUGCAUGUGUUUAUCCCUCUACAUCAUGUCAUCUGGCUUAAUGCGUUACUCUAUUCUUAUGAACUUAAUACUCUAGAUGCAGGCAUGAGUCGGUCGAUGUGUGGAGUAAUAGUAGUAGAUGCAGGCAGGAGUCGGUCUACUUGUUAUGGAUGUGAUGCCUAUAUACAUGAUCAUGCCUAGAUAAUCUCAUAACUAUGCGCUUUUCUAUCAAUUGCUCGACAGUAAUUUGGUCACCCACCGUAUUACUUAUCCUAUCUUGAGAGAAGCCUCUAGUGAAACCUAUGGCCCCCGGGUCUAUCUCCUAUCAUAUUUGCUUUCCAUCUACUUUUAUUUGCAUCUUUACUUUUUGCAUC
rnacentral:lncRNA from 1 species